UACAUAAACCCAACAAGCACCAUUACAAUCUCGAAGUCCGACAUACAACCCCUCUUUCUCUGUCUCAAGAUUUCAGCUUCAGAAAUUGACAUCUGAAAGUGAAAAGUUAAUCUUUUUGUGUUUUUUUUUUCUUGAUUCCCAGAUCCGACUACCCAAAAGAGCGCAACACCCAAGACGGCCGGAGAGUGAUGUCGUCAUCGUCGACAACAAGCGUUCACGUCAUGGCCCUGGACGGCCUGGUCAACGUGAACUCACUCUUCACCAUUGCCGUCUUCGUGGGGCUUUCUCUGGCGACUCCGGGACAGAGGAGCCUCGAGAACCGGACAUCCUGCGACGCUGGGAUCGACGUGGCGAAGAAGCUGCUGGUGUUCGAGGUUGUCUCGUUCAGCUUCUUCCUGUUCUCAUCGCUUGUGGCGCAGGGACUGAAGCUGGCGAUCAACCUGCUCAACAGCAAGAAAGGAGAGGACCCGUUACAGGCCCACAUCAAUAAGAAGGUGUUGAGAUUCGGGAUGUUGGGGUCGGCUUUCGGGUCGGUCAUGGGUUGCGUGUUUCUGAUGCUGUCGAUGGUGAAUGUGAUCCAGAUCAGGCUGGGGAUGCUGUCGUGUGGCAGCAAAUCCUCCGUCCAUGCUGUGGCGGCGCUUGUUGUUUUGGUCACGACGGCUCUUUUGGUUUAUAUUUCUACUGCUGUUUAUGCUUUUCUUCACUAGCUGCUGAAUCAAAUUUUAUAUUUGUCUCCGGAUAUUGGAAUAAGAGUAAACUGUUGAUUUGCCCCCUGAACUAUCACCCAACUUUCAAUUUCCCCCCUGAACUUUUUAAUUGGAAAAUUAAGGACUUAAACUAAUUUUUUUUGGCCAAUUUCCCCCCUACAGUUAGUUUUUCAUAGAUUUCAUCCAAAUUAACGUUAACUCUUAUCAUGUGCAAACCACGUAACUCUCAUUUGUGGACAAAAGUGUCAUUUCACUAGACUUUUAGAUACAAAAGCUAUAGAAUCACACAUAUUUGCAUAGGUUUAUAUUUUAGAAAUAUAAGGUUUUCAAUUAUUUUAAAGAAUGAAGCGACCGAACUACCCACACAUGUUGUGCAUAUGCUUCCAUUUAACAAAAAUUUGGAUGGAAUGAAUGAAAAAUUAACAGCAGGGGGUAAAUCGGCCAAAAAAAUUAGUUUAAGUCCUUAAUUUUCCAAUUAAAAAGUUCAGGGGGGAAAUCGAAAGUUGGGUGAUAGUUUAGGGGGCAAAUCGGUAGUAUACUCUUGGAAUAAUGGAAUGUCUGUGACGGUAUUUCUAUGAAUUGCACGGAUUCUGUUGCUGAGAGGUCCUCCUUUGUUUGAGAUUUUAGGUGACCCUGAUUUGGUUGAGAGUGAAAUCUUUAAAAAUUGGCAACUUGGAAUAGAAUAUGCUUCAUUAGAGUACUUAGGUAAUGUUGGUCGGACACUUGGAAUGAGUAGGAAUGGGCAAAAUACCUAUGGGUUUAGGUAACUGCGGUUACUUACCCAUUUAAAGUUUAUGAUUACGGUUAUGGAUAACCAUUUAGACGAACAAACGGUUAUGGGUAUAACCGUUUAUCCGUGAAAUUUAAAUGGACGGUUAUGGGUAUUAGCCAUUGUUAUAAUGGAUAUCCAUCGGUUAUAGGUAUUACAUGUGGUUAUAAUGAAUAUCCAUUUAUCCAUUUAAUUUAAUACAUGUAAAAUUAAAAAAAAAAAAAUUAAAAACCCUAAAUUUUCAAUCUCUCCACUAGCCUCAAAGUCUCAAACGCUCCGUCCUCGCUGAAUCAACCACCAUUGCAUAUUCUUUCAAAAAGUUCUCCUCCAGCUGCAUUUUCCAUCUCAAUUGCUAAAUCGUUUGGUGUUAACAGCACCUACGUAAAUUAACACACACACACACAGAGUAGAAUUAAAAGUUAUUGAUGAAUAAAACAAGCAUGAAUAUUUGACUUUAAACCAAGUGAAAUUAAAAGUUAACGACAAAAGGUAGUCUGAUUGUUCUCUAUCAAAAAUGUUUAGUUUCGAAAUAUUUUGGAGCUUUGAAUCAUCUAGUAUUCAAGAUAAUGACUACUUUUUGUUUUUAGAAACUUUACUUUGUAAUCAUAUGGAUUAUAAUUAAAGACUUGAUUGAGUGUAGUAGAAAAAUAUCGUUUUUAAACUAUUAUUUCAAUUAUUGGAAUUGUAUGAGGACUUAAAUGAUUAAAAUAGGAAAAUGCAUGCUAAAAUGUACCUAUAAUGAUGUUUAAUUGUUAGAAAACGAAAAUUAUAACAAAAUUUUCUUUUGCAAUUUUCAAGUUGUUAAAAAAAAAAACAUGUAGAUGAGUGAAAAAAGGGUAAAUGGGUAAAAAAAAGAAGAAGAUAAACGGGUUCAAAAACAAGUAAACGAGUAAAUAAUUAUGGUUAAAUGGGUAAACGGUUGUGAUUAAAUGGGUAAACGGUUAUGUGUAUGGGUAUAAUAAUUUAUGCAAUUACUCAACGGGUAAACGGUUAUGCGGGUAUGAACAUAAAUGGUUAUGGGUAAAUAACCGCAGUUACCUGUCUGUCAUAACCGUUGCCCAUUCCUAGUAAUGAGGGUUUAUGGAAACUUACCUACAUUGGAGAUGACCUUAUGGUGAUCUCAUAGCCAAUCACACAUGUGUUGUCAUGUGGAGUAGGACACUCAGUCACAUAAUGUUUUAAGAUAUUGUUACGAUAGCAUCCCCCACUGAUUCUGUCCAGUUGCUGCUAGUGUUGCUAGUGUUGAAUGUUUGAUUAGAUUAUGAUUGAUUUCGAUCACAUUACAAACUUGGCUGAGAAAACAAAGCCGUCAUUUCAUCCGAACUAGUCGCUAAUGCAAAAUAUGGUUGAAUUUUGGACGACACCAUCAUAUGAUGUUAGAGUACGGUUUUUGGUGUCAGUUGCUAAUUGUUUUUGUUUGAACUAGGUUCUCACUGUCGGGACCUCGGGACAUGGCAUUAUGUUUGGCUUGCUUAUUCGUUGUAUGCCGAAUAGCAUAACGGAUGACAUAUAGGAACCUCGACCGUGUCUACGAGCAAUAUUGGCCGGUGCGCUGGUCGGUAUUAUAAUCGGCACAUGACAACCCCAAGAAGUAGUAUGCCCGCCCCCUAACCUCCAACGGGUGCCGAGAAGAAGCUUGUUUAAUGUGCCAAGGGUCCGAGCACCGGGGACGUUUGGGAGCUUGUUUAGCCGUAAUAAAUCUAUAUGAACUCGGAUUUAGUUGCAUUGGACUCGUUUCAACAUCCCGAUAUGGUCUUGCGUUUGAGACCCUUGUUUUUCGUUUGUUGAACAUUUCUACUCGAAUCGGACUCGUGCUUGACUUUGGGACUGGAGUUUCCACAAACAACUAGAGAAGCGAAAUUAUUAUCUCAUUUCAAUUUUUAUUUUCAGGUCUCUCGAUUUAUAAUAAUAAUAAAUAACCAUGAAUCAACAUUCAUUGUCUCCUUCUGCACUCCUCCCUUUGUUUGUGUCCUUGAUUUACUCUGAGUCGUAUGGCUAGAAAAAGAGGGAGGAGCAAGAUAUGUGAGUGUCAAAAAUCAAUUCGCUAAAUUAAAAUGAAACUAAAGAAAAAUAAUAGAGUACGCAAAAGAUUAUGGAGUUAGAAGAACUUGCUACUUAUACGUAUGCUAUUUGUACAACCAAAGGGUAAAUCAACUGAAAAAAAAAACAAAAAACAAAGAACGAAAACUACAGGAUAAUUCAGUUUCUGCUCCACCGAAAACUAAGAUUUAUAGUUUUUCUUUUAACAAGACGAUAAUCUAAACUACUCUUAUCUAAUCUAUGGGGAGGGGAUUUGAACUCAAAUGCAAGAGACAGACACACUGCCUUGACCAACUGACCAGACCCACAUUUGCAAAUUAGGUCUUGAAUACAGGGAAUAGCGUAUGAAAGGAGCUGAAACAAUCAAGUAGCCUUUUAACCGUUUCAAGGUGCUACCCUCUUUGAUUCAAUUUCUUUCACGCUCUGGACUAUACCGUCAAUGUUUCUCGACAAGUGAUUGGAAUGUUCUUCCAUCUGCCUCAAAACCAUAUCAAGCUGUUCUUGAUAGGUGGCAGACAUCUUUCGCUCACGUUGCAACUCAGCCGUCAACUCCCGAAUUUUCAGAUAUUUUUCGUCCUGGAACAAACCAAAAAGCAAAUCAAUAGCAAUUAUUGAUUGUUAUGGGAAAUAUUAUGGUAGCAUAAUGCAAAGAACUCUUCCCCUGCCCUGCCCUCACAAACAUACGUCGGGUAUCUGCUAGGUGGCUUUAACAAGCCCUGGUCAAAUAUGUAAAACGUUACUGUAACCACUGUAAAUUAGAGCACAAACCCUACAUGUAAAACGUUUACUGUAACCACGAUAAAGUUAAACGAGACACCUAUUACAUCUCACAAAACGGCCAGGGAAGCAAUUACAUAUAGCACUCGAGGGGACUUGUCCAAAUUCUAAGAACAGUUACUACCAAAAGAAACCAUUAAAACGUCUUUAUUUAAUUAUUUUAUUACAUCUUGAGUAAGUUUAUAAAGCUAAGGACCCAUUUGAUAAACAUUUUGGUUUUAGCUUUUAGUUCUUAUUUUUUGUGCUAGAGACCGGGGGAAAGUAUAUUGGAUGAAAUAAGGAAUGGAGAAGGAUAAAGGGAGGCGGUGUGAGGGAGGAGGGAGAAAUGUAGAUCAUAUGAAAACAAAAACGUUAAAGUGAAAUCAACUCAAAAUUGUUUUUAGUUUUCAUUUUUGUCAUUCCUUUCCUUUCCUUUCCUCCACCCUCCUUCCUUCACCCUUCUUUAUCUCUCCAUCCCUUUCUCCCACAAGUACUUCUCCACCAUAUAUAUCACAAAAAAUUAAAACUAAAAACGAAAUGGUUAUCAAACAGGUCCUGAGUUUUAGAUUGAACGUCAAAACUGGUUUUAACAAUUUGGAGGUGACAAAAAAUGGGUUGCCUAGUACGCCUUUGAGAAAUAUAUGAACUACAUUCUUCAAACAAGGAAAACCAAAAGAACGAUAUCAUCAGGGAACCUUUUCAAGCAAGGGGCAUCUGCUAACUUCAUCCAAUUAACCAGAAUCCCUACUAAUAUAAUGCAGGGUUGCAUUAGCAAAAGUAACUUUCCAGCUUGCAAAAGCUCCAAAUCACUUGCAGGCAACAGAGACUAGACCAUCUGAUGCAAUUUCAAAUAUACAACGGACAGAAACUAGAUAAUCGAUUAACUUAACCAACACAAGGAAACAAAAUAAACCGCUAACUUAACAGAAAUCACAAUGCAUCUGUCUUACAAAAUAAACCUAUAAGCGAGCAACUCAAAGAUGCAGAUAAGAAGCACUCACUGGUGUUUGAGACAGAAGCAUACUGCGGCGACCAUUUGCAGGUGUACCUACUAGUGGACGGUUAUGCUCCUUUAUAAAUCGUGUUACGAUCCAUUUUCCUGAUUUGUCUUUCUUUACCACAAGCAUCGCUUUGCACCCUUCUCUGGUGAUUGCUCGAGGCUUCCUAUUCUCAGUUCUUUUGGCUCGCGUCAUGCGAAAUCCCUCUUUGUUACACACAAGCCUCCGCCAAACUACCUUACCAUCACGCAUUGAUCUCCGGAAGGCAUCGACUCGCAUAAUGAAGCCCACCUGUGUUGCAUAUGCAUCAUAGAACACUUUCGCAGCCUCUUCAUAUUCAAACUCCAUACCCACAAAUGGUUCUGUAUCCGAGUUCCCCUCAUAUGUGACUGCCUCUUUCCCAUUGGAACUCUCUAACACGUCCUCAUCCUUGCUCAUAGAAGGUUCUUCAUCAUCCACUGCCCAAAUAAGCAUUGUGAUAAGACUCCAUCUAAGGUUCUACCUUCCAAAAUUCAAGCAAAACAAUAAUUUUGCGAAGAAAAAUGCGAUUUUUUAUACCAAACUAGUUUUCGAUUACCUAAUGAAUUGUGCAAAGUCUCACAUCAUAGUGUAACCAAACAAAACCUUACUAAAAUAUUUUACCAAUGUAAUGAUUCUGAUCACACACGCAGAAUAACACAUCUAUAUCUCAACUAUCCACUGGAAAACAUAACCUGCGUUAUGUUUGGCUGCCGAGAAAACACAAGAAAAUACCAACAACAGACUGGAAAACUGAGAACAACCCAAGAUUGGGGUUACUGAAUUCUAAGUUACCCAACUCAUAGUUGUCUACUUUUGCUCAGCAUCCAAACAGAUUAAGGAAAUUCCAAAAACAACAAACAACACAAUCGAAGGUUUAACGUGAGUGCAGAUUAAGAAAUUAAAGAGUGAAAAUGCUAAGAUAAAAUGAUUAACUCACUUGCUGUGACAGAGAGAUCGCGACCCAACAGUUUGCUUGGCUUCUGCAAUAGAGAGGAAGCAGAAAGUUCGCUCCUUUUUUGUUCUUCUGGUUUUGGGGAGGUGGCGGGCGGUUGAAGCGUUUGAGCUCGAACUCCAGGGUGUUGGCAGGUGAACGAUCCACUGCGGCGAAGAAAUGCAUCACUGAAAGUCCUGAAUAACUUGAAGGGAGAUACUUCGCUCAUUCCCUUGGAUGCACAAUUUCUACUUACCUGCUAAUCACAGUUUGACACCAAGUACAAAAAAAAUGUUCUUGUGUUUUUAUAGUUGGGGUGGUAACUGAUUUUUCCGUUGGGACGUCGAUAUUAGGAAAAUAAGAGGUUAUUUUUCCUUUAUCUUGAAUCCUUCUCUCGUUGGCCAGUAUGAGAAAUAACCUCAAUGUGUGCACCACCACCACCAGUAUCGUAACCGGUAACAAAAGUCUGGACUUUUUCGUUUUAAGGAUCUGACAAUGUUUCCAAUUUCUAAGGACAUAGAAAGGGAUCCGGGGCCUUUAUGAUAGUAGAAAGGGGAGGGGGACGACCCGCUGAAUUCACAUUAGAAAUUGACAACGUCAACACAAACGAAAUCUUGAAUUGUGUAAUGAAACAAGAUGAACCACUUCUAUUCUCCAAGCUGAGGUAUAUGAAGAAUGGCUUUUUGGUCCCUUUCAUCCAGUGGUCAGGACAUUGUCUUUUCGUGUAGAAGAUACGGGUUCGAUUCUCGUGACGGAUAGGUAUUCAUUCCUGGCCGCUUUUGGUUAGUGUUCAUUGUUGAGUGAUCGCUCGCUAUUUGGCUAGAAAAGGUGGUAUGGAAGGCUUCUUCUCUCCAAAAAUUAACUUGGCUCCUCAAUUCGUAUGUAACCGAUUUACAAAACUUUAUGUUUAUGAUCGGAGCUGUUCAUAUUAUAAAUCGCUCUCUGUAAUAAUCAUCUCUGCAAAAAAAAUCAAUUAAAUAUGAAAUUUGGUCAUCCAAAUGUACAAAACAGAUGGAAUGAUUUGGUAAAAGAAUCAUGAACCAUUUAUCUAUUUGUUACUAUUGAUUAAUUAAACAACCUUAGUUCUAAUUGAGUUUUUAGAGAUGACCUUUACAAAGAUUUAUAAUAUAAACACGAAAAUUUGUAAAUCAACUGCUAAGUGAAUUGAGGAGGAACUCCUCAGUCUUGAGGAGCCAAGCCUUGGCUUUAUAUCAAUGAUGAGAGAACUCAUAUGGUCCUGUAGUUCAUUCAAUUCCAAUAGCCGAUGUUGACGCCAACGCCUCGGUGAAUGAAAGAGAACGGUUGUACCUCCAGCCACCGUAAAUCUCGUGCUUGCAUAACUGCAUUGGUGUUCAAUACAUUUUAGCUACUGAAUAACUUGAAGGAAAGUGCCCGGCUCCUUCAUUUGGAAUGUUAAAAACCUGCUAAUCAGAGUUUAACACUAUAUGUGAACUUUUAUUUUUGUGUAUGGCUUCACUUUCAACAACGUUAAUUAAGGCCCGCUCCUUGCAAAUCUUAUUGACCAAAAAAAAGGAAUAUGGCUUCUAAUUUCCAGUCAUUUUAAUUUUGUGAGCAAUGCUUUAGGUUUGUACACCUUUUCUUUUUGGAGUUUUUAUCACAAACGAUCUUUGAAAUUAACUUAACUCAACAUUUUGGUCUUUCAAUUUGAAAAUCAAUCAAUAUCGUCCCUGAAAUUUAUUACCAUACAUCUAUAUGAUCCUUGCCAUUUGAUUCUGUCAAAUUUUAUGUUAAUUUGAUGAAGUAGCAAACCCGGAGUCCACACAAUUAAUUUUUGAAAUUAAAAAAACUAGGAAAAGCUUGCGGACUAGACCCGGUAGUUUUUGAUACGACAUGGCGACACAACACAAAAACGACACGAAAAUAACGGGUUUCGAGUCAACAAGAUAACUUAUUGGGUCAUUAUCGGGUGACCCGUUAAUAACGGGUAUACACGCGAGUAACACGUGGGUAACCCGUUAAGAAAAAAUUUAUUUUGAUAAUUUUAAAGUUUAAUUACUAAAAGAUUUAUUAUAAAAUACAAUAGCCAUAUUAAUAUAUACAAUAUAUUCUAUAUUAAAUAUAUAGUUUUGUAUUAUUCUAUAUAAGUUUAAAAAAAAAAAAGUUGUAGUCAUUAUUUAUUUUUAUUAUGAGAGUCCCUUAUUAUCAUUACUAGGAUAAAUUUUACUUAACAUGUUGUUGUCCAAAAUUAAAAUAAACUAAUAUAGUAUUUGUAUAUGCAAGAACUAAGAAGACAUACAUACAAGUAUGAAAAAUGUGAGAGAAUAUAUAAACACUCGUGAUUCAUCAUUAUUCCUCCACGAGUAGAUAAUGGUUACACUUACAUUAUCGUUUAGAUUUUUAAAAUCCUCCAAACCUUCAUGAAUAAUGUUUUUUAUUUGAGGACAAAAUUAAUAAAAUUAAUAAUAAUUAUUGUAGAAGUGUAAAAAAUGUAAAAAAAAAAAAAUACAAUCACUCAUAGUGACAAACUUUACAAUUUUCAUGAAGGGGUUAGCUUCGAAAUUCAACACUAUAAUUCAUAAACCUUAAAUUUAUAUUUAACCGUCGAUUACCAUUUACGCUUUAUUCUUCUUACUGAAUUUCAUUUUUAAAAUUUUCUUUUUUGAAAACAUGAUCAUCUGGCGGAUGUAAGAAGAUGAACAGUUCAGAUCUUUGAUAUCACGUUUUGAUAUUUACGGUUAACUGAAAUAUGAGUCGAUCUCAUAUAGUUUGUAGAAACUUUAUAAACAUCAAGCAAUAUUUUCACUAACCGUAAAAUUAUGAAUAUAAUAUCAACGAUCCAAACCGUUAAUCUUCCUGCAUCAUCUAAUAGAUCAAGUUUUCAAAAAACAAAAUUUGAAAAAACAAAAUUUGAUGAGAACAAUGAAGAGUAAAUGUAAACAACAAUCAAUGGUUAAAUUUUGAUCUAUGAUUUAUAUAAUUAUAGUGGCGAAUUUCGAAGUUAAGCUCUUCAUAAAAGUUGUAAAGCUUGUCAUUACGAGUAUUUAUAUAUUUUUUUACACUUCUACAUUAAUUAAAUAACUAUUAAAGACUUUAUGUAAAUGAAAAUAUACUUAAAAGAAAAUUGCGUUUUUAUGUUUUGGAUGUGACAAUAUGAUAUGUAUAUACUUAUUUAGUAUUAUGUUUUUCAUUUGAUUAUUUAUUGGUUUAAAAUAUAUUUUCCUUAAUAGGUAACGGGUCAGGUCAUAUUACCGGUUUAUUUUAACGGGUGUUACACGACACAACCUAUUAAGAUAUCAGGUAUGACAUGAAAACGACACGAACAUGAAAAACACGAUAUGAAUGCCAGGUCUACUGCAGACUCUGUUGGCUGCUUCCUUUGCCUAGUUUUAUUAUUAGCACGUUUAGGUUAUUAGCUUUGAUUUUCCCAAAUAUAAUGCUGCACUGAAUUGCUUCUUAUCGGUGAGAUGAAUCUGAUAUAUGUUGUUGUUUCAGUAUUUGUUUUAGAUUUUUUCAUUUGCAUCGAGACACUUGUGUUUUCUUUUUUAGGUUUAUUUAAUUUCUAAAUAUAAGAAAAUUUAACAAGAUCAAGAGGCAAGGACCACAUUGAUAUACUGUGACCGGGGUCUUUGUGGUCCAAAAUAAUAAAAUGAUAAAUAACAGUAAAGUAAGGAUGAGACUUUUGGUAGUACCGGUGAACCAAAUGGCUACAGCGAUGGAAUUUGGGAUGGAUAUGUAGUAUCUCUCUAGAUCUAGCAAAGCAAAAGACCCCCUAACGUAAUUCGCAUGGGGGCUAAUCGUUAAGUUCACCCUAGCCUCGCAGGGCGGGCCCCCGCAGUCUCAAGCCAUAGCUUAUGGGAUAUUACAAUAACAACAAAGCCUUUUACCACUAAGUGGGGUCGGCUGUAUGAAUUCUAGAACGUCAUUGCGCUCGGUUAUGUGCCACGUCUUUCGUUAUAUCCAAGUACUCCAAGUUUUUUUUUUAGAGUCUCUUCCAAAGUCUUUCUAGAUCUUCCUCUACCCCUUUGACCCUGAACAUCUAUCUCGUAAUUACAUCUUCUAACCGGAGCGUCUGUAGGUCUUUGUUUCCCAUGCCCAAACCAAAGUAACCGAUUUUCUCUCAUCUUUCUCGUGUGCCCACACAUACAAUGAAGCAUUCUCAUCUCCACUACUCUCAUUUUAUAUACGUGUUGAUGCUUUACUGCCCAACAUUCGGUGCUAUAAAACAUUGUUGGCCUUAUUGAUGUCCUAUAAAAUUUUCCCUUGAGCUUUAGGAAGGACAUUGAUUAAUUUAAAUUGAAUGACCAAAAUGAUGAGUUAGAAGUUAUUUAGUACUACAGUCUGGUAAUAUUUCUUGUCACUUGUAAAUGAGAGGUCUUAAGUUCGAUUCUCACUAAAGACGAGCUUAAACCACAUUAUUGCUAGACUGCUAGUUCAUUAUGAGGUUAAACCAACCCUCUUUUUCUUAGUGUAGAUAAUAUUAUUUGUUAAAAAAUAAUGAGAUAGAAUGGACUCCAUAUAAUGGACGUUUAGGUCAAGUCAUUUUAUAUAAAUUUUAUGUUUUAAUUUUCUUAAAUAAUGACAAGUUAUUUGAUCUUAUCUUAAAUGUUUUCAAUGGCGUAUUGUGAAUCACGUGGCCAAGACUAUUAGUUGAACGUCUUAGGCUGAUGUUAAGUUUCAACAACCCUAGGCUGAUGUUAACUUUCAAUGACCUUAAUCAAGGUCUACUCUGUUAACCUUCAACAACCAUAAUAAUUAAGGCUUUACUCCUUGGAAAUCUUAUUGACCAAAAAUAACAUGGCUUCUAAUUUUCAGUCAUUUUAAUUUUGUGAGCAAUGCUUUUGAUGCAUUAGAUGUAAUCAGAAUAUCAAAAUAGCUUGUUCACUCUUCUAGGAGGCGUUAGACGGUUGACGAUCGUCCUGAUUAGUUCUUAAGCGUUUGAAAAUUAAGAAAUAACGCCUAGAUCUGCUUCAACGUCCGCCUAGCCCGGCUAAGGGCUAGUUUGGUAUUGCUGUGCUUUGAAAAAAAGCUGCUUCUGCUGUGCUGUGAGAAUAAGUAGCUGUGAAAUAAAACAGCAGAGUGUUUGGUAAACUUUUUGUAAAAGUGCUUUGGAAAAAAAUAACAGUAUUAUAGUGUUUGGUAAACUUUUAUGUAAAACAGAUGUGAAAAAAGCCGGUUUUUCAAAGCUGGGUUUUGCAGCUUCUUGUUUUUGACUUUUUUUCACCAAAAAUUGUGAAAAAAAACUGAAGCUAAAUGUUUACCAAACAUAAAAAUAGCUCCCAGCGUUUUUUGAUACCAGCUUUUUUUCAGAAUCACCUCAGUACCAAACCAGGCCUAAGCACCCGCCUAGAUUGUCUAGACCUACCUAGGUUGCAACUAUCACUUAAACAAAAAAUUGAUAACUUUCUUUUUGUAUUUUAUAUUUUCAAUAAAAUGUAAGAGACUUGUUGAAUAUUUGGAUGAACAUCCAUUAUAUAUUUAUUUCUCAUAUUUUCUAUAUGUUCUAAUACUAUGUAAUCUAUAUGUCAUUUUAUUUUGCAAUUUAUGUAUCCCAAUACAUUUAUGUGUUUUUUAGUAUAAAUAUGCAUUUAUUUAUAUGAUAUAUAAUAAAUUUCCUAAAUCCCCCUAGCCACUUAGGCGCUAGGCUCCAACACGUCGUCCAACUAGCACCUAGAGUCGUUUAGAACCUUGAGCCUAUUAAAGGUUCUAGUAAUUUUUUCUGGGUUUUUAUUACGUAGCUAAAAUAAAUAUAACUCAUCAUUUUGGUCCCUUACUUUAAAAAUCAAUUAGUGUCGUCCUUAAAAUUUACUACCACACAUUAAUGUGGUCCUUACUGUUUGAUUCCGCCAAAUUUUCUAUUAAUUUGAUGAUAUAGCAAACAUGGAGUCCACAGAGUCAAUUUUUGAAAUAUAAAAAAAAAAAAAAAAAAGGCAAAGUCUCCAGGCUCUGUUUGCUGCUUCCCUUGCCUAGUUUGAUUAUUAGCACAUUUAGGAUCCGUUUGUUGCGCCGGACUGUCUCGGACUGGACUGGCUUAGACUAGACUAAGCUGGACUAACUUAGUGAAGCGUUUGUUACAGUGUCAGACUAAGAAGUAGGAUAAUAAAAACAGUACUGUUCACCAGAUUUGUGUUUGCUUAGACUAGGACUACAAGUUUUUGCCAUUGUGUAAUAGAGUAAUGCUACAAAUCUCAUGAUAUGGGUUAAUUGGAGCAUAUUUUGCCAUGUAUAUUAUGAAUCUUAAAAAAAGAGGACAAUUGUUUUGUUUCUAUUACCUGCUAAUAGAAUUGGGACAUACUAUAGUUGGGACAUGCUAUUUAUAAAUAGUUGAGUUUAAUUUGCAAAUGUAGCUUGGUUUAAACUCUAUCACCCAAAAGAAGAAAAAGAAUAAUGCCCAAUACAUGCAACUUCAACAAAUACAAGUACAUAAGAAGAUACUUGUGACAAGUCAAUCUUUGCUAUUGAUUGACUCUUAAAAUAUCAUUCACUAAACUUUGAUCCAGGAUAUUUUACAAAAUGCCAGUGAACUAUAGUAUAGCAUUCCAAAGUAGAUCUCCAUAAUUUACAAAAUCCUAGUUAACAUUAGCCAAAAUACUUUAUAGUGCAAAGCUAAGUUAUAAGCCAUAACAUAAGAUUGUACGAUUAAUAAAAUACAUCCAUGUCAAAAGGCACCACAUAAUAUACUCAUCCGCUUGCUUUGUCGCUUAAAAGCCUUUGGACGAACACUUUCUUGAGUUCCGAUUUGAUUGCCUUGAACACUCCCACAUUUUGUGGUUUUUCCAAAAUAAAAGACAAUGCAUCAAUUUGAUCCAUAGGAGAAAGACCCAUUGGUUCAAGUUCGUUAGCUAUGUCACUAUGAUCUGCAGUACCUUGAAUUAAAGCUUCAGUUACCAUUUGCAUCCUCUUCCCACUUUCAACAUAAAAAUCUUUCAGUCCACUGAUAAUUGCCUCGGGUUCCAUCACUUGAACUUCCCGCAGCUCUUUUCCUCUUUCUUUGGCUAUUUUCAGAUGAGGUGCUUUGUUGGCUUUGUUGGUUCAUUGAAGAAACAAAAUUUUCACUUCCAAUAUCACUUGCACAAACUUUAUCAUGACUUUGUUCCUCCACCAUUUCAGCAGGGGUUUCGGCUACAUUACAUGCAGCCCGAUCUUUUCCAAAUAUAUAUGCAAAUUUAUCAUACAGUGGAAAAUGUUUGCUUCUCCAUCCAUCGACUUCUUUAUUUUUCUAAGAUUAUAUCAACAUAGCAAAACUAAAAUUUAGCAUGCAUAACAAAUACAGCGGCAAGAAUAUAACUAAUGUAUAAAUAAAAUAGGAUAUGAACCUGCACAUAAGUUUGCCAUGCGUCAUCACUGUCAACUUCAACGCACUUUUUGACAUCAUUCCAUGCAAAUCCACUUGUGUUUAUCAUGUCAACAACCAAACUAUAUGUUUUUUUUCCAUUUCUUCAACUUUGACUCAAUAUGUGGAGUUGCCUUUAUAUUGGAAUGAAGACAUAAAACAUUGACAACUUUCACUAUUUCAAUCAAAGUACCUUGUUUGAAAGCACCGGUGUCACACCGUUGCUUCCGAGCAAAAGGUAUAAAAUAUUGAUGAUAUCAGAAAUAUCGGUAGUCCAAAAACACAGAAAUUUCGAUGGAAAUAUCGGGAUAUUAUCGAUAUCGAUAAAAAUUGAAUAAAAACCACGGAAAUUGUAAGAAAAACUUGGAAAUUUUUAUUGAAACUUUGCAGGAUGUUUAUUUAGUCAAUUAUCUAUUAGUUUAUCACAAAAAAUUGGAAGGAAAUGCAUUGCAUGAUAGAUAUAACUGAUUUAAGUUGAUUAUAUAGCGAGCUGGCAAAUAUUGUGAGUGUAGAAAAUAUGUAGUAAUUAAUUAAAGAAGUUUAAACACACCAUAAUCAUUUAUAUAAUGAAUUAGUACAAUAUUUUACACUUUAUACAUUGCAUGGUAAGAUACAUGAGUGACUUAGCAAGGUCUAAAAUAUCGAUAAUAUUGGAAAUAUCGGUAAUCCAAAAAAAUAUCGGUAGUCCAAAAACACGGAAAUUUCGAUGGAAAUAUUGAGAUAUUAUGGAUAUUUUAGACCAUCAAAAAAAGCCUCAAGAACGGAUAGUAAUGCUUCUUCCUCAAAUGCUUCCCAUUUACGCAUUCUUCCUUUUGGCUCUUGAGUAGCAUUCAAAAUAUUGUCGUUAUCCAUACCUAAACAAAAAAUAUUUGAAUUUACUAAAAUACAAUACAAAUAAUCAAUUUGCAUAAUAUCCAAUUAAUUGGCAUACCAUCCAAUCAAUAAAAAAGUUUUAACAUUCAUUGAUGAGCAAUCUAAUCAUUUUGCUAAUAUCCAACAAAUGCAUGAUAAAAAUGAAUACUAAAAUAAAAUGUUAUCAUUAACACAUAUAACUAGUUCGGUUGUUGGUUCCUAAUUGCUCUCCACUCAUUAUACAUUUUCUGAGCCAUGGCAUUCCUCUUUGUAGUCCACUAGUAAGAUGUUUCAACACUACCAACAUAUUCACCUUCUUCUGUAUUUUGUCCAUCUUCUAUUAUUGGCAAAUUCUCCAUUGGAUCUACAGACAUCUCUUGCCUAAUAAGAUUGUGUAGUAGGCAACAAGCAGUAAUUAUUCGACCUUGUGUCCUUAUCGGAUAGAAAGAUGGACUCCUUAGUAUCGACCACCUUCCUUUUAGCAAGCCAAAACAGCGUUCAAUUACAUUCCUUGCCUUAGAAUGCUUCAUGUUAAAAUAUUCUUCCUUAUUAGAAGGUGUCCGUCCCUCCCAUUCAGAUAAAUGAUAAGGUAUUCCUCUAUAGGGUGCAAGGAAUCCUUCACCAUUUGUAUAACCAUCAUCUGCAAGGUAAUAAUAACCUAAUAAAAAAGCAGACCUUAUUAACGUUUUGUAGUUGACAAACAAAACUAGACCUAACUUACAAAGUUGAGACUAACUAAUAGUCUUACCCGCUGGUACCUUAAAACCAUUAGGCCUAUUAAUUGCAUCAUGUAGCAUUCUAGAGUCUGAUGCCGAACCCUCCCACCCCGGAAACACAUAUAUGAACUGCAUAUCUCCUGAACACACACCUAACACAUUAGUUGCGACUCGACCCUUUCUUGUUAGGUAUCUUGGUUUGUCAAUUUCAGGUACAUGCACAUCAAUGUGUGUUCCAUCUAAUGCUCCCAAGCAAUUCUAAAAAAAAAAUAAAAAAAAGCUUUUGCUAAUUUAUACAAAGGGAAUGAAGAGUUAAAGCUUAGGGAAAAUGAAAAAAAAAUUAUCAUCAUACCUUAAAACAUCGCCACCUAGGAUUUGUAGAAUCAAUAGGCACAUGCUAAGGGACUUUUAGUAGGAUACCUUGUAAUCGCAAAAUUCCUUGCAAUACGCUAUUGAAAUACCUACUUAUAGUCUCUCCCGACCUAUAAAAUCUACCGCCAACACUACGAUUCUUAGUAUGAUGUGCUAAUAUUUGUAAAGUCAUACACACCUGCUUCUCUACAAACACCAAACCAUCCGUUUUUACCCUCCCAUCUUGACGAAGUAAUUCACAUAAUAUGCUAAAAGUCCUUCUAUCCAUUCUCAAUUCGUUGACACAUUCAAUAUCAGUAUUCCCUAUUAUACCAUUCAGAUAACACAAACUAAUCUCUCGUUUAACAAGUGAACGGUUAGUCAAAGUGCGUCGUUCAACAUGUCUCUAUUUGGCCCUUAGCAUCAGUAACACAAGAAUCGUACAAAUGCAAAUUGUCUCUAAAUGAGACAUUUGUAACAAUAAGAUCAAUAAAAGCUUCAUUCGCUCCAUAUCUAUCCAAACAAAAAAAAAAGAAAACAAAAAAUAAGGACAUUAUAUAUGCAGAAUACACACACACACACACAGAGUACACACAAACACACACACACAGAGAUUACACACACACACACACACACACACAGAUUACACACACACACAUAGUACACACAAACACACACACAGAGUACACACAAACACACACAUACACAUAAAAAUUACACACACACACACACAUAUAGAUUACACACACACACAAAUUACACACACACAGAGUACACACAAACACACACAGAGUACACACAAGCACACACACAGAGAUUACAAACACACACACACACACACACAAAUUACACACACUCACACACACACACACACAUAUUACACACACACACAUAGAUUACACAUACACACACACAGAGUACACACAAACACACACACACAUAUUACAUUCACACACAGAGAUUACACACACACACACACAAAUUACACACACACAAAGAUUACACACACACACACACACACACACAUAUAUUACACACAAACAGAGUACACACAAACACACACACGCACAGAUUACACACACACACACACACACACACACACACACACACACACACACACAGAGUACACACAAACACAUACACACACAGAUUACACACUCAUACACACACACAAAGUACACACAAACACACACACACAGAUUGCACACACACACACACAAAUUACACACACACACACACAUAGAUUACACACACACACACAUAAAGAUUCCACACACACACACACACAAAUUACACACACACACACACAGAGAUUACACACAUAUACACAGAGAUUACACACAUGCACAAAGAGUACACACAAACACACACAAACACACACACACACACAGAGUACACACAAACACAUACAAACACACACACACACACACACACACAUAGAUACAUACACACACACAGAGUACACAAACACACACACACACACACAUGCACAGACACACACACACACAGAGUACUCUCAUUGUUGAAACCCCAAAUUUUAAAAUCGAAAACAGCAUGUGGGUAGGAAUUUCAAGUUUCACAACUUUGACAUCCUAAAUUCCCAAGUUCCAUCUCAUCUUAUGAAAACCCCAAAUUCUAAUCUCAAAUUCACCUAAAUAUCAAAACCCUAAUUUGUUCAAGUGCAGAGGUCUAUGAUUUAAAAUUUCUCAAACCCAAAACAACAAAAUUAAAUAAAGCUCAGUUAAUAUCACAAACUAAUCCACACAAAUCGACGAAAUAAAUCGAAGAUUCGAAGCUUACCAGACAACUCGAGGCAGAUGAGGGCGAGCAGCUGCAGAUGAGCGAAGACGCAGCGAUGAAAGUGAGGAGGAUGACGAUGAGGGAGCACGGCAAGGACGACGAUGAGGGAAGACGUCGAGAUGAGGACGAUGAAGGCGAUGAAGGAAGACGCAGAAAAUCUCUCGUGUUUUCUUUGGCUUAUGAGUCUGUCCAAAAUUGGGGAUCCUCGUUAAGAACGGCUAAGGAGGUGUUUAAUCCGGGCGAAUCCCUGCUAAGCUCAUUAAAGCUAAUCCUAGUGCACACCAAACAAAUAACUACAGUCUAGUCCAGUCCAGUCUUUCUUAAUCAUGUCAAACAAAUGGGCCCUUAGGUUAUUAGCUUUGAUUUUCCCAAAUAUAGCUAAAAAGGAUGAUGUGUUGAAUUGCAUCUUAUAUCAACGAGAUGAAUCCAAUAUAUGUUGCUGUUUCAAUCUUUGUUUUAGAUUUUUUAAUUUGCAUUAAGAGACUUGUGUUUUCUUUUGUGGUUUUAUUUAAUUUCUAAAUUAUUUUGUUAGUUCCUAAAGAUUUUUUAAAUUUCAAAAAAUUAAUUUUUUCCAUAUGAUCCAUGUUGUGGAGCCAAAAAUAAUCACAAGGCGACACGUGGAUUUUUGGGUAAAAGAUGACAAAAAUAUCCUUGAGGCAUACCGGGAUUCCUACGCGCGAGGAGCGUACAAUCAUUUGUCAAUCAAGUCAAAAGUGUCCAAAAUAGGUAACCAAAUCAAAGAUAUUCUCAUCCAUCCUAAUCUUAGAUAAUUAUUUUAUAACCUACAUAACAUUACAUUUAAGUGGAGGUUAAUUGGCUAAUUAAUCCAUUAAUCACCAAUUAAAUCACCUUCAAAGCAACAAGCUCAGAAUCCAACCUCUUGAUCUCCUCGGCUAAGGAAUAAGCUUCAACUGCCAUAAUCUUCGCCACCUCCUUGACAACUUUGCUAUAUAUGCAUCAUAGCAAGCAGAGCAGUCCUUUUAUAGUGGGUCGUAUGUUUUGCAAAGGAACUUGGGCAAACAACCUUUCUACCGCUAUCAACAAACUUGGCACAAGCGUUCAUGACUUCAAGCAGAUAUAGUUUUAAAAGCAUACAGAUCUCAGCAGCCUCCCCAGAAGCAGGCUUAGUGGAUUUCUCACAACUGCCCACACGAGCAGUAUCUUCCUUCCUAGCAGGCGAAUCAGUCUCAGCAGCAAAGGGAGUGGGCCUUAGCGCCACUUUAGCAACAGAGUCCACCUUACCACUUUUCAUAAUAGCAAGUUUCUCUAAAGGUGAACCAGAGAUCAACCCAGCAUUCUAGCAGGCAGGAGGCCUGCAUGCCCAGCAUUCCAGCAAUCCAUGAGGCCCACGACCUCCUAAUUUCUUUCAGUCGCCAGCUUGGCCUGAGUAAGGUCUAAGAGCCCCAAGGACAUGAGCCAUGUGGCUCGCCUAGCACUGCGCCCCAACGCCACAAUCCGCAGCCCCAACCGCACAAGUUGCCUUUGGCUUUAGCCAAGCCAAACAGGCCAAGCAGUGACCCUUGCCACGAAGCCUCCUCAUCCCAUGCCGAGCCGACUCCUGGCCCCUGCCAGCCGACAUGCUGCACCACCCCGACGGCUGCCCCGCAAUAGCACUAUCCAAGAAGAAGACAAGAAAAAAUUAAAUUUUUCUUACAUUGGUGCGGCACGGAGAAGACGAAGAAAUCAACGAAAGACGGUCAUUUGCAAGAUGUAGAAGAUUGCUAGAGGAGGGGGAACAAAUAUCAUCUAAGCUCUCUCUCUCUUGUAGGGUAGAAUAAAUCGCUCUCCAAAGUUGAUUUAAUAACCCACUUAAGGUGGACUUAAAUAGGCUUUGAGAGAAAUUUAUUUCCCUUUCCUAGAAUGACCUAAUUUCCUAUUAAAGAGAGAAUCUACAUCAAAAUAGGAAGCAAUCCUACAUUUCCUAAAGCAAGAUGAUCUCUACACCUGCUGCCCUUUCCUAUGAGGAGCCCAACAAGUGUGGGGGCAUUUGUGGAGCCAAAAAUAAUCACAAGGUGACACGUGGAUUUUUGGGUAAAAGAGGACAAAAAUACCCUUGAGGCAUACCGGGAUUCCUACGCGCGAGUAGCGGACAAUUAUCCGUCAAUCAAGUCAAAAGUGUCCAAAAUAGGUAAUCAAUUCAAAGAUAUUCUCAUCCAUCCUCAUCUUAGGUAAUUAUUUUAUAACCUACAUAACAUUACAUUUAAAUGGAGGUUAAUUGGCUAAUUAAUGGAUUAAUUCCUAAUUAAUCCAUUAAUCACCAAUUAAAUCACCCACAAAAUAUACCCAAAAAUCCCAAAGGGCCGGCCACCCUUGUUGAUCUCAUCAUAUUUACCUAUUUUAUCACAUUAAUUAGCUAGUUAAUUUGGCAAUAAUUUUAUUUGCUAAAUUAAUUAGUCAAUUAUUCUCAUAACUCCUAAAUUCAACCUAAAUCAAGAACCCUAUCCCUAUAAAUAGGCUCUUAUUCUCACCAAAAACCUAGGUCCUUACUCUUGCUAAAAUUCUCCAAAGCUCUCAAACACUUUUAUCUCAAAAUUCUAACUUUGGCAUCGGAGGUUCUUCGGUCAAAGCCCCACCCAUUCAUCGUGGGCGCUUGAGGCUCUUGGCCUUAACCUAAGGUGUUAUUUGUUUUGUAGGUGCAAUUUUGUCCAAGAUCAAGGAGGAAGAAAUUUGCAUCCACAAAUUGGUGCUUUCAUUGAGAGGUGAGAUCCAUACUCAUAGAAGACUCUCGCAUAAAAAGGUUUUUCUAUUUUCUAGUCCAUUUGAAUAUUUUUCAUACGUUCUUAUUAUUAGAAAUUUUUAUUUGCAAAGGUUCUUUGAUAAAAUGUAUAAGAAAAAUAUAAUGGCUAGAAAUUUAGAAAAUUCCACAAGUGAAAAUUCUAAUACUCAAGAAAUGGGUCCGCGGCGAUUUACGAGGCUAAAUGUGGUCAUAGGCGAAGUGGUACCACCACUACGAGGUUCCACCAUGGCCCAAGACGUGUCAUCCAAGCUUGCACGGGCCCGAGCCCAAGCCUGGCAUUCACAUGCAUCACGCACUGAGCAGCCUGUUCUCAUCGAGCAGCCCACUUCCGUGGCCCAACCUGCUCCUACCGAGCAACCUACUCUCACGGUCCAGCCUGCUCCCGACGAGCAGCCCACUCCCGUGGCCCAGCCUGUUCCAGCCGAGUAGCCUGCUUUCGUGGCCCAGCCUGCUCCCAACGAGUAGCCCACUUUCGUGGCCCAGCCUGUUCCCGCCGAGCAGCCCACUCUCGCGGCCCAGCCUGCUCUUGUGGCCCAGCCUGCUCCCACGACCCAAUCUGCUCCCGUGGCUUUCCAAGCAGCCCAAGUCGGCCCAAGACUAUCUCAACUAUCUGGACCUACCAUCAAGCUGGGAGCAUUUUCACCACAUUUCUUCGUGGAUUUGAUAUUUCCCAACUCAAAUCUCGCACCCAGAGCCUACCACACUUCCACUGCUCAAUGAGGCACAUUCCUUCCAAGUUCUUCCAAUCUAAAUGGCAAACAACACUUGUCUCAACAAGUCAUAGAGUUGACGAACGUCCUUGCACAAUAGAUAACCUUGGUGAAUCAACUCUUGCAACGCACCGAGAUCCAACGUGCCUCGGACAAGGUGUCCCGAAGUAGGACAAGGGCAAAUGAACCUUUCCAUUAGUGUCCCGGUAAGUAGCCUAUCAACUAGCCACGAUCUGAGCGUUCUGGCAGUUUACGUACCCGAUUGGGCCCCCGAGAUAGCGUAAACUCCCAUCUUAGAGCGCGAAGGAGCAUGCACUCUCGACUAAGCCCACAAACGAGUAUAUUCACAGUUGGGCUUACACUCCGAUAGUCAACAUAAGCAACCUUCCAAGCGAAGUGUUCAUUCGCGGCUAAGCUCUCAAGGAGCAUCAUCCACCUCACAUCGGAGUAGGCAGCACGACAGACGGAGAGAAACAGUCACUUAAUACGGCUCAAGUUCAACCGGCAGCCUGCGAAGAACUCGUUCGCCUGCUAGGAACGCGCUACACGCACCGCAUCUGGGGCAUAGACGAGCCAAAUAUAUGGAAGAGCAGCCUAGACCAGCAAGUCACGGUUGGGGGCAGCCGAGAGCUCCAUUACCUUAACAAAGGCAAAUUCAUGAAGAAGUAGAGAGACUCUUGACCAAGCGAUUGCGCACUUUCCAAGCGAUCUUGAAUAUGAAGUUCCCCACUACUCUGAAGGAGAUUCAAAGUCUGACUGGACGAGUAGUCACAUCUGAAGUAGCAAGAAGCUCUAUCAUCAUACGAGAAAAGCUCAGGGCCCGACUACCUGUAUUAUACAGUUCAAAAGCUCUCCUUGAUGUUAUUAAAAAUUCAAAAGCUAACUUUGACGAUAGUUGUUGUAACCCAGAAGCUCAAGUUUUACCUUUAAACGCAUGUAGUUAUCCUUAUGACGCAUUAUUUUGCCCAAUCCAGACACACGACGAUAAAGGCGUAAGAUCCUGGCGAAUGCAAAGUUUUCUAACGAACACAACAACUCGGCCUAAAAGACACGCCAAGGGCAAACGAACACUAGAAUGACACACUCGGAAGCAAGUUUUGUCCUCGUCGCCCCAAAAGAUUUUACAUAGGAGCAACAUGUACUUGCAGUCAAACACCACUUCCUACUACGUGUCACACGGUCCUAGCUGACCCUUGCUUUAUAAUUCAACUUUACAGUGGUCCAAUACCAGCAGUUAAGCAUCUUCUACUGCAUGUAACAUGGCCCCAGCUCCACGGCUUCCUACCACGCAUUUAUGACGCAAUAGAGCGGCCCAACGACGUCUCGGAAGUAGCCGAGCACAUUCUAUCAGCACCUGCUCCACCCGAUGGAGACUUCUGGCAUUUGCAUGUCGACAUCGCAUCCAACUACAAAGGUUCAGGAGCAGACGAUCAUUCUAGGUUUCAAAGCAUCUAACAACGAAGCAAAGUACGAAGCCCCACUAGCAGGCCUUCGAAUGACAAAAGACUUGGCGGUGAAAAAGCUUUCAAUCCAUUUCGAUUCCCAGCUAAUCACCAGCCAAACUACUAGGGGCAAAUGCAUGAUGAUCGUGGCAACUGACUACUUCACCAAAUAGGUAGAAGCAGAGCCCAUGACGACCACGAUUCAAACGGACAUAAAGCGAUUCAUAUGGAGGAACAUCAUUUGCUGAUUUGGCAUCCCUUAAUCCAUCAUCACCGACAAUGGCUCGCAAUUUGUGGGCAAAGAUUUGGUAAAGUUAUUUAAAAAAUAUGGCAUCAAACAGCACAUGUUUACGCCAAGAUAUUCUCAAGGCAAUAGGUGGGCCAAAGUAUCCACCAAGAUGAUCCUCGAUUGCCACAAAAAAUGCCCCACCAGUAAGAAAAGAAAAUGGUCAGACGAACUCUAUGGAUAUCUAUGUGCAUAUCGCACCACCAAAAGACGAGCAACCGAAAGAAGAUGGCCACAAGCUUAAAUCUGGCAUAGGAGAAAUGCGAGCAGACUAUCACCCGCAUCACAGCUUACCAGCAAUAGUUUCUUUCCAGCUACAACAAAAGGGCCAAGAUCCGGAAGUUGCAGCCCAGAGAUUUAGUCCUAAGAAAAGCCUUCAUCAUUGCCCACAGAGAAGGCUCCAAAAAGAUAGAUCUCAUCUGGAAAGGUUCAUACAUGAUCAGCAGAGUAGGUGGCAAGAGUAAUUACACCCUCGCCACCAUGAAACGAUAAAAAGAUCGAAAAGUAGUGGAGCGCCUACAAGCUGAAGAAGUAUCAUGUGUGACCUCCUACUACAUCAAAGCCCGAAGAUUCAAGAAUCUCAACGGGCACCACCUCACAAGCCGAGGACUAUCCAGUUGUUAUGCAGUUCCUACCUUACAACUAAGUUCUCGUUCGUUUCACUCGUUUUUCAAUGAGGAAUUCAGAAGUAAUCACAACUUGGCUCGGCUGCAUGCUUAGAACAACUGAUCACUCCUGCACUUCAAAAAAAGACUGCGCCCUUCUUAAGGACUCAUUGCAGGAAUUACAACCCCCGAGAGACCAACCAUGCUCUCCAGUGCGAUAAGGUAAACUAAUUGCUCUCCAGUGCGAGAGGGUAAACCAAUUCCCUGACACCUAUAUGGGUCAGCUCUCCAAGAUGAGAGGAUUAAACUCUACACUCCUAAUAUCCAAACGUGGAUGAACUUGGCUGCCCUAGUAUAACUAGAUGCACGAUAGCUUGCACUGGGAUUCCUAGAAGUAGCCACAAUGGUCUUUUUCAAGGUUUAGCUAAUUGAAGGAUUUUGGGUCUCUUGGCUUAAUCCGCUAAGACCCGGGCCCUAAAGACGGAGGGGGCACAUUACGCAGUACUCCCUGCAGACGGCUGCCCUGGAACCCUAAAGCUGCUACCAAGUGCACUAAGGUAGCCUAUGGAUUCCGGAAGACUGCCUACGGCUUGCCUUUCGAGCAGUAAAGUCACGCUAGACUUAUACAACCGCACAUUAUUGUGAUAGGUUAAACAAGCUAGCGCGCAUAUACGAAGUUUUAUCCAUUGCCGACAUGUUACGUAGUCGAUAAGCUUCACCUCUGCCAAGCGCAGAACAACCUACACCAAGUCCUAAAGUGUUGUGAUACUUGCUACGCAACCUACGAAAUUGGAAAAAGUCAAGGUUAACAGCCUAGUGGUUACGCGGACUUGUCUGCUUCUGUAAGUAAGGCAUCCGGCUGCUAACCCUAUGGCUAACAACUUUGCAAAGUUCUACACCAACACCUAUGGCUGCAUAGGCUACGCGAGCUUGUCUGCUUAUAAAAAAGUAGCAUGCCUACCACUGGUCUAUCAAGUCUAAAGGCUAGGGCAUGAACAAAAUAAGCGAAGAUAAAGAAAAACGAAGGAAAUCAUGUUUAUAAACAACUAGCAAAGGCCAAAGGAGUUCAAGCAAAACAUGAGCUACAGGGAAAAACAAAGAAAAUCCUAAAGGCUACUUAGAAUACUACACUACAGCAGCUUGGACAUCCCACAACUACUCGGUCGCCACACCUUCAGUAGCCAUAAUGCUCUUAGCAACGGCAUCAUCUGGCGUUUCACCCCUGGUUGCCCCCGCCUGGGCACUAACUUCUCCAACUACUUCACCAAUGGAAGCCGUAAAAGCAAGCAAGUCUUCUGGAGAAAUAGAAAAGGUCUCGAAACCUCAAGCCCAUCAUUUUCACCCUUCAGCUGCUCAUUCUUCUCAAGCAGACUAACACGGAUGCGCUGCAGCUCAUCCACUCCCUUCUUAGCAUAAGCAGCAAUUAACUCUUCAUCCUUUGCAUAAGCAGCGAAAUGAAGCUCAUAAACUGCAAAGUCAAGAUCUUUAAUCUGAGGUAUGUAACAUUCAAUCUCAUUCUCUGCACUUUCAUACUUAACUUGGAUCGCGUCAAGCUUAGUCUUCAAGUUAAUGAUCUUGUGGCGAGCGGUCUCAAGCUGCAGAGAAGUGGGGACAGAAAUAUUAGACCCCUUCAAAGCAACAAGCUCAGAAUCCAACUUCUUGAUCUCUUCGGCUAAGGAAUAAGCUUCAACUGCCAUAAUCUUCGCCACCUCCUUGACAGCUUUGCUAUAUAUACAUCAUAGCAAGCAGAGCAGUCCUUCUAUAGUGGGUUGUAUGUUUUGCAAAGGAAUUUGGGCAAACAACAUUUCUACCGCUAUCAACAAACUUGGCACAAGCGUCCAUGACUUCAAGCAGAUAUAAUUUUAAAAGCACACAUAUCUCAGCAGCCUCCCCAGAAGCAGGCUUAGUGGAUUUCUCACAGCUGCCCACACGAGCAGUAUCUUCCUUCCUAGCAGGCGAAUCAGUCUCAGCAGCAAAGGGAGUGGGCCUUGGCGCCACUUUAGCAAUAAAGUCCACCUUACCACUUUUCAUAAUAGCAAGUUUCACUAAAGGUGAACCAGAGAUCAAGCCAGCAUUCUAGCAGGCAGGAGGCUUGCAUGCCCAGCAUUCCAGCAACCCAUGAGGCCCACGACCUCCUAAUUUCUUUCAGUCGCCAGCUUGGCCUGAGUAAGGUCUAAGAGCCCCAAUGACAUGAGCCACGUGGCUCGCCUAGCACUGCGCCCCAACGCCACAAUCCGCGGCCCCAACCGCACAAGUUGCCUUUGGCUUUAGCCAAGCCAAACAGGCUAAGCAGUGGCCCUUGCCACGAAGCCUCCUCAGCCAUGCCGAGCCGACUCCUGGCCCCUGCCAGCCGACAUGCUGCACCACCCCGACGGCUGCCCCGCAAUAGCACUAUCCAAGAAGAAGACAAGAAAAAAUUAAAUUUUUCUUACAUUGGUGCGGCACGGAGAAGAUGAAGAAAUCAACGAAAGACGGUCAUUUGCAAGAUGUAGAAGAUUGCUAGAGGAGGGGGAACAAAUAUCCUCUAAGCUCUCUCUCUCUUGUAGGGUAGAAUAAAUCGCUCUCCAAAGUUGAUUUAAUAACCCACUUAAGGUUGACUUAAAUAGGCUUUGAGAGAAAUUUAUUUCCCUUUCCUAGAAUGACCUAAUUUCCUAUUAAAGAGAGAAUCUACAUCAAAAUAGGAAGCAAUCCUACAUUUCCUAAAGCAAGAUGAUCUCUACACCUGCUGCCCUUUCCUACGAGGAGCCCAACAAGUGUGGGGGCAUUUGUGGAGCCAAAAAUAAUCACAAGGUGACACGUGGAUUUUUGGGUAAAAGAGGACAAAAAUACCCUUGAGGCAUACCGGGAUUCCUACGCGCGAGCAGCGGACAAUCAUCCGUCAAUCAAGUCAAAAGUGUCCAAAAUAGGUAAUCAAUUCAAAGAUAUUAUCAUCCAUCCUCAUCUUAGGUAAUUAUUUUAUAACCUACAUAACAUUACAUUUAAGUGGAGGUUAAUUGGCUAAUUAAUGGAUUAAUUCCUAAUUAAUCCAUUAAUCACCAAUUAAAUCACCCACAAAAUAUACCCAAAAUCCCAAAGGGCCGGCCACCCUUGUUGAUCUCAUCAUAUUUACCUAUUUUAUCACAUUAAUUAGCUAGUUAAUUUGGCAAUAAUUUUAUUUGCUAAAUUAAUUAGUCAAUUAUUCUCAUAACUCCUAAAUUCAACCUAAAUCAAGAACCGACAUGAUUCUCUGCAGUUCACGGUGGUGAGAUGAAAAAAUGAAAGAGAACCGACAUGAUUUUUUGUGUCGUUUCCCACAGACGGCGCCAAAUGUUGAUGCACAAAACCGGAUGGUCUUGGUACAACGUAAAUCCGACCGUGAAUCUGCAUGAAAUGUAAAUGACACAAGAGUUAUCGUGGUUCACCCCAAGGUUUGGGCUACGUCCACACUGAUUGUGUAUUUAUUUGAGGGAAUAGAGAGGGAGAGGGUGAGAGCUUCUGAGAGCUUCUGAGGGUGAGAGAGGGGAUCUCAGGCCUAGGAAUUGGCCUCUCAGAGUGAGAGUGAUGCCUCCCUAGAAUGAGGGGAGGAGUCCCCUUUUAUAGAAUAAGGGGCUCCUCCUCCUUUACAAAGUAUGGGCUUUAGUGUGAGGCCCAAAUACAAGGCCCAAGGCCCAAAUAUACGAGGCCCUAAAUAUGGUAUAAACAGUAGUCCCCCAAGUCUUCAGUCAAGAGAGUCUUUUGGCUGGAGACUUGAAAUUCAGUCCAUGUGUGGGCCGAAGUAACUAGAUGCUGUCUUGAACUGAUGCUCGAUAUGAGGCGGUGCCCAAUCUGAAAUGACGCUCAACUAGAAGUAGCACACGCUGUGAGACUGCUCGGCUCGUGGCUUAUGUUGCCUUGGCUAGCUCGGUUUGCGGCGUUGAAGGUGAGGGAGUCCCUUUUAUAGAAUAAGGGCUCGUUCCUCAAUACAUAAAUGAUGGGCUAGAGUUGAUGCUCGCGGCGAGGCGGUUGCUCAGCUGGCGGCGUUUCUCUCUAAUGAAGGUGAGGGAGUCCCUUUUAUAAAAUAAGGGUUUACUCCUCAGUACAUGAAUAAUGGGUGCUCUCUAAUGAAAGUGAGGGAUUCCCUUUUAUAGAAUAAGGGCUCACUCCUUAAUACAUAAGUGAUGGGCUAGAGUCCCCCAAGUAUUUUUCAUGAGUGCUCUCUAAAAGUGAAGGAGUCCCUUUUAUAGAAUAAGGGCUCGCUCCUCAAUACAUAAGUGAUGGGCUAGAGUCUCCCAAGUAUUUUUUAUGAGGCCCAGUUGAGGCCCAAUAUAUGGUACAUAAUGUAGUCCCCCAAGUCUUCGGUCAAUAGAGUCUGUUGGCUGGAGACUUCAAAUUGAAUCCAUGUAUGGGCCGAAGUGGCGGUUGGUCGAAUGCGGUAUUUGUAUACCCUGCACUGAAGCUUUGUAGGUGAAGCUUUGUAGGUGAAGCUUUGCAAGUGAAGCUUUGAAGCUAGAGCUCUGUAAAUGAAGCUUUUGAAGCUAGAGCUUUGUAAAUGAAGCUUUUGAAUCUAGAGCUCUGUAAAUGAAGUCUUUGAAGCUAGAGCUCUUGUAAAUGAAGCUUUUGAAGCUAGAGCUCUGUAAAUGAAGUCUUUGAAGCUAGAGCUCUGUAAAUGAAGCUUUUGAAGUUGAUUGAUAUGAGUGAUGCUCAUGAAUGUUUAUGUUGAUUGACAUGAGUGAUGCUCAUGAAUGUUGUUAUGAGUGAUGCUCAUGAAUGUUAACAUGAGUGAUGCUCAUGAAUGUUGACAUGAAUGAUGGUCAUGAAUGUUUAUGUAUGAUUGUCAUGAGUGAUGCUCAUGAAUGUUUAUGUAUGAAUGACAUGAGUAGUGCUCAUGUAUGAUUUGGAGUACUAGGCGUACUUUUGAUCACCUGGUUGGUGUUAUUUUGGGCUUGUCGUUGUUCUUCCUUUUUUUUUUUUUUUUUUUUUUUUUUUUUUUUUUUUUACCCUCUGAUGGGGUUUAUACAUAUGUCUCCGAAAGAUAAUAAAUUACAUCAUUCUGGUAGAAUGUUUAUUCCUUACUUUUGUUUUUCUCUUUCUUUUCUACUUUUCUUUUGUAAUUAUCUCAGUGGGUAGCCAUAUUUUCUGCUUUGCUCUUUUACUUUGCUUUGCUUUUGCUUUCCACUUUUUUUUUUUUUUUUUUUUUUUUUUUUUUUUUUUUUUUUUGACCCUCUGAUGGGGGUUUAUACAUAUUACCCUUUGAUGGGGUUUAUACAUAUGUCUCCGAAAGAUAAAUUACAUCAUUCAAAAAUAAAGGUUUCGACAGUUGCGUUUGUGCGUACUAGGCCUCUCUUUCUGUCUCUGUCAUGCAUGUGCACCCAAUUUAAUCAUUAAUAUCUUCUUUACCGAUUAUCCCUUACCACUUGCGGUCCUACUCAUUCAAAUCAUAAUCUCUCAGAUUUUAUUCUCUUUUCUGCUUUGCUCUUUUUUCUUUUGCUUUUGUUUUCUGCGUCUCUUUCAUUGUUUCUCCACCUCCACUCUCUCUGGCAGACUUGCUUUUGCUUUUGCUGACUUGCUUUACAGCAAACACAUUUAGCUUUUCCAUGUGGGUGGUCGAAAAAAAAACCAACCAGAUUCAUCAUUUCCGAUGGCAUCACCGACAGAAACGGUUCGAGCGUUUGCAAAAACCUGAUCUGGACAUCUGAGAAGCAGGGAUAUUUCGAGAUCUGAAUCUCAAAGAUUGACCAAAACCUUCAAACCUUAACAGCAGUUGAGCUACGCAGCCAUUGUUAUGAAAACAAAUUCAGAUCUUGCAACAACUGCGGCUUAGAGACUGACUAAUGGAGCAGCUUCCAUGGAAGAAAUGGGGGAGAUUACCCAAACAGCGUGGUUUGGCGUCGGAAUAGCUCGACUUCGAGAACGUAAAAGCUUCCUGCGAUCUGCGUGAAACGGGUCAUCCUCUAGAGUUCAAAAAAGCUCCGUGAAGGAUGAGUGAAACUCGGGUAGGACAGAGUCGCGACUCGACUUGAGGAGGUAGAGAACGACCCGCUUCAGCUUGUCGUGCUUCGGUUCUAACGGGUCGAGGUAGGAGAGGAUGCGGUAGCCGCCGGUACCGAAAUCUUCUCUGUUCUCCUUCUUCUUCACUGCCUCCGAAACCCAAACCUUCUCUUCCAGCACUACUCUUCCAUACGAAUCCGAAAUCUUUGGUAGCACAUUCGCAUCGUAAUCGUACUCGCUCAGAAUCACGCCGUUGUACGCCGCGUAAUCGGAUUGUAUUUGUGUGGAGAUCUUCUCCAUCGUCAUAGGAGGGACCAUCACCAGCUCCGGCUCCAUUUUCGGAUGAGAAUCUUCGGGUGUUGGGUGGAGCUUGGAGGAGGCGACGAUGCUGAUGAUGAUACAAUUAAUGAGUAUGUAGAGAUACGGCGGUCUGAGCCAGGAGAUGGCGGAGCUCUAGAGAGAAGGAACUUGGGAGGUGACGGUGUCGGCGACCAAUGGAGAUGAGAGUUUCAGCCCAACGGCCAUGGAGACCACGCCAGUGGAGAUCAGCGCAACCUUAAGAGUGAGUAACCAGUUGUUGCUCGCGCUCGUCGACAUAUUUAUCAGAAUGUUGCGAAUUGAUCAGAAUCUUUACCUUUUCCGGCUAGAGUUUUGUUUGGCUCCCUGUCUCUGUCUAUUCUUCCUCUUCUUGCCAACCUUGUCCAGGCCCAUAAACAGCAGCCAUAUGCUUCCCCUUGACCCAGCCCGAUCUCUCUCUCCAUUGCCCAACUUGUAUUGUUUUGAUUCUCUGCAGUUCACGGUGGUGAGAUGAAAAAAUGAAAGAGAACCGACAUGAUUUUUUGUGUCGUUUCCCACAGACGGCGCCAAAUGUUGAUGCACAAAACCGGAUGGUCUUGGUACAACGUAAAUCCGACCGUGAAUCUGCAUGAAAUGUAAAUGACACAAGAGUUAUCGUGGUUCACCCCAAGGUUUGGGCUACGUCCACACUGAUUGUGUAUUUAUUUGAGGGAAUAGAGAGGGAGAGGGUGAGAGCUUCUGAGAGCUUCUGAGGGUGAGAGAGGGGAUCUCAGGCCUAGGAAUUGGCCUCUCAGAGUGAGAGUGAUGCCUCCCUAGAAUGAGGGGAUGAGUCCCCUUUUAUAGAAUAAGGGGCUCCUCCUCCUUUACAAAGUAUGGGCUUUAGUGUGAGGCCCAAAUACAAGGCCCAAGGCCCAAAUAUACGAGGCCCUAAAUAUGGUAUAAACAGUGCUCCCCUAAGUUCCCGAGUGAGGGAAACUCCUCGGUUGGGGACUUGCAAGAUCCAAUCCCUUGAGUAAUCACGAAACUUCUAAGUACCGAAGUGUGGUCUGAUCUUCAUCUGCCCUUCUCUGGAAGUACCUUUCCUCCAUCCGGGAAUGGUGUACUUAGCUGAUGUUGACGCACAAGGUAAUGUAUCAAUUUCACUUGAAGCUUAGUUGUAGUUUCGGGCUUAGUCAAGUGUGAUACAAACCCUAUAGUAGGAGUCCCCCAAGUCGCCGAGCUAGGAGAUCUGCCGAAAGAGGUGACAGACAAGGUAAGCAGUCAAACUUCCAAGUAAGCAACCCAGGAUCAGAGGUUUGACGUCGGCUUCCGGUUGAUUGUUCUCAUUCUCCUUGUCUCUCAUUCAACUGCCAGGAUAAGGAGAAGCAAAUGGAUAAGAGAUGAUAUGAGAUACUUUUGCUUUUGAAGAAGUAACUUUCCACAGGCUUAUUCUUGAACUGUGCUGGAGGGUUUUCUGGUGCCCUUCAGAGUAUAAGGCCGACUCAAAAAUUUGAGGGUCAAAACAAGUCCAUCAAAUCUAGAGUACGUUCGACCUUGAUGAUAUGGGAUACUUUUGCUGUUGACGGAAUAAUGAAUGUGGUAUGGAAAGGUGUCGUGCUGUAGUGAUCUGUUUCAGCUCACCGUUGAACCUUCUGCUUCAAUCUUUUGCAUGGCAGAAGUGGUGUGCAACCUUUGCAUUUAAAUGGUCCUUCAGAACAUUCCUUCAUAGUGACUCAUCCACGCUUGGCAGCUUCAGUGUAAAGAGCCAAUAUCUGAUCAACUGUCAUGAGGUAUUUGCCGGUGGAAUUCGUGACCUUGACAGCAGUUGAGGAUGAGUACUCGAGAGCAAUGCUAAGUAAGCAACCAGGCAAAGGCUCCAGGCAGUCAGUUCCAAAUUGGAGGUUUGAUUUCAGGUUCCGACUGACUGCUCUCUUUUUCUCCUUGUCCUGCAGGUGUGGACAAGGACAAAGACAAAGACAGGGAGAAAGCAUGAUAUGGGAUACUCUUGCUUUCGACCCUGAUGAUAUGAGAUACUCUUGUUCUUGGUGUGGCUUAUUUGCUGAGGUAUUAUCGGGGGGAAAUAAAGCUGAGUAUUUCGAGAGGUUAUGUUGAGGGUGCCUUUUCGAAUGUGAGAAAGGGUUGAGCAUUUUUGCAGGUUUGCCUGUCCGUUGAGGAGGGAGGUCAAUGUAUAUAGGGAUUUCCCAAUAACAAGUAGUAAUGCUAUUCCUUUACCCUUCUUGGUCACAGCAAUGUAGUGGGAGCUGCCAGCUUCACGUGUUUUAAUUUUGUCAGAGCACUUUGAAAAAGUGGUAUGUGGUAUCUGGAAAGCUGAUAUUACGUGUGGAGAUUACAGACAAGCUUUAUCUAAGGAAAUCUGGCUCUCGAAGUUCUGAGAGUUGUGCCUCUUCGGUUUUCGAACAAGCAAUCCCGUCGAGGAUCUGACUCUCGAGAUUCGGAAAGCGGUGCUACUCCGGUUUUUGAGAAAGUAAUUAUGUUGGGAGUCUUUUCUCGAAUGUGAGUAAAGGUUGGUCGUUCUUGCCAACCUGUCUUGCCACAAAACACGGAGGUCGACACACAUAGGGACUUUCCAGUUGUCAAGCAGUGGUGCUGUUCCUUUACCCUUAUGGGUAAUAGUAGGGUAGCUGGCACUUCGAAAUUCUCGUGCCUAAACUUUGUCAGAGAUCUUUGACAAAGUUAUAUGUGGUACCCGAGGAGUUGAUGGUGCAUAUGGAGAGCGGUGAUUGAUCAGUAAGAUUCACGUGCUUUCUGCUUCACCAGAAAUCUUCGACAGAUUGCCCGUAAUUUCCGCAAAGCUAAUUGUGCAUGUGACAGGUGCUGACAAGGCUGCAAAAGCAGGUGCUUCUUCGAUUUCUGAGAUCGGCCCUCGUGGUCUCUGAGCAGCCCAGCUUUUGAGAAAGCAAACGCCUCUUCGAUUUCUGAAGCUCCGUCGAGUGCAGAUUUUUAUAGAGGCUGGCAUUAAGUUCCACAGCACACUUGAAUCUCUACCAGUAGAAGCUCAUUUCUUGCACUUCUAAGAUCUUGAUUUGUCUGACCUCUUCCUUCUUCAACACAUUUGAAAAUGUCUGGACCCUCCGACCGUCGUUUUGACUUGAACCUUGGAGAAGAGACAGCCACGCCUUCUCCAAACAACAUAUGGCGCCCAUCCUUCAUAUCCCCUACUGGUCCUCUUACCGUUGGGGAUUCUGUGAUGAAGAAUGAUAUGACCGCUGCAGUGGUGGCCAGGAACCUUCUCACUCCCAAAGAUAACAGACUACUUUCCAAACGGUCUGAUGAGUUGGCUGUUAAGGACUCUCUGGCUCUUAGUGUUCAGUGUGCAGGUUCUGUGUCUAAUAUGGCCCAACGCCUAUUUGCUAGAACCCGCCAAGUUGAAUCAUUGGCUGCUGAAGUGAUGAGUCUCAAACAGGAGAUUAGAGGGCUCAAGCAUGAGAAUAAGCAGUUGCACCGGCUCGCCCAUGACUAUGCUACAAACAUGAAGAGGAAGCUUGACCAGAUGAAGGAAUCUGAUGGUAAGGUUUUACUUGAUCAUCAGCAGUUUGUGGGUUUGUUCCAAAGGCAUUUAUUGCCUUCGUCCUCUGGGGCUGUACCUGGUAAUGAAGCUUCAAAUGAUGAACCUCCAAUGCCUCCUCCUUCUGGGGUUUUGUCAAGUACUGAGGCUCCGGAUAACCACCCUCCGGUGCUUUCUCUUUCUGGGGCUCUACCGACUGCUGAGACUUCCCCUAAGCAACCUUUGUGAAGGCUCCCUUUUGUUUGUUUAUUUUGACUCAUGUAUAUGUACAUAUUUGUGGCUUAUCGAAAAUAUUAAUAAAUAAGCUUUGCUUCAUUUCAACAUAUUGUGUUAAAUACACCAAAGCCUUCUUCAUAAAGUUCUUUGAAUUUUUUGCUUUUGUUGAAACCUGUAUUGUUGAAGCUUUGUGAGUGGAGCAUGUAGUUUGAGGUAGUGUUCCCUUAAUUUCCCGAGUGAGGAAAACUUCUCGGUUGGAGACUUGAAAAAUCCAAGUCACUGAGUGGUUGUGAGACUGCCGAGUAUCAAGGUGCAGUAGCAUAUGGUGGGAGUCCCCCAAGUCUUCAGGCGAAGAGAGUUGCCGAAUGAGGUGUCUAGCUAGUAGUCAAUGUCAUGAGUAGGAAAACUUCACUUGUUUCUUUUCGAAGUGGUAACCCAGGGCUCUUUCUUCAUAUAUUGUUUUUUGUUAUGAAGAUGUGUUAGGCCCAAAGAAGUGGAGGCCUAGGAACUUUUUUUUUUUUUAUUUAUUUUUUUUUUUUACUCCCUCCCUUUUUCUUGUGUCAUUUACAUGGGUGUAUUCGAAUGGAGCUGAAUGAGGGGUAGGGUAUGACUCAUUAUCAUGUGCCAUGAUUUUGUCUUCCUUUAGCUUCUCUUUUGCUUUGCUUUAGUCUUCCUUUAGCUUUUCUUCAAUAUAACACCAUUUUCUGUGGCUCAGAUCGCAAAACCAUCUUCAUGAAAGUUGUUCCUUAACUUGUGAACUACAACAUAUCCAAAUUUGAGGUCCCUCGGAGCAGUAUAACUCCAGAAAUCCAGGUAUGAUGAGUGACUGUUUAUCAUUUGUCUGUCAACCCGUCAGAUUUGUUGUGAGUUUUGAAACUCUAUUUUCUCUUGCUCAAAUAAGCAUGCUUUCUUCAUUGAAGUUGUUCCUCAGCUUGGGAACUACAACAUAUCCAAAUUUGAGAUCCCUCGGAGCUGUAUAACUCAAGAAAUUCAGGUAUGAUGAAUGACUGGUUAUUAUUUUUCUGUCAACCCGUCAGAUUUGUUGUGAGCUUUGAAACUCUAUUUUCUCUUGCUCAGAUCAGCAUGCUUUCUUCAUUGAAGUUGUUCCUCAGCUUGUGAACUUCAACAUAUCCAAAUUUGAGAUCCCUCGGAGAAGUAUAACUCCAGAAAUCCAGGUAUGAUGAAUGACUGGUUAUUAUUUUUCUGUCAACCCGUCAGAUUUGUUGUGAGCUUUGAAACUCUAUUUUCUAUUGUUCAGAUCAGCAUGCUUUCUUCAUUGAAGUUGUUCCUCAUCGUCUCUUUCAUAACAUAUCAAAAAUUCAGAAUGAACUAAUGGUUAAAUAUUUCCAGAUCUUCGAAACAUCACAGCAGCUUCGAAAUCUGCAAGAAUCCGACUGUCAUGCUUGGAGCUUCAACACUUUAAUUUCCGUGGCUCAAACAGAAAUGGUUCCUUCUUGAAAGUUGUUCAUCUGCUCAAGAACUAGAGGGUGUCCAAAAUUCAGCUCCAUUGGAGAGAAGCAGCAGCUGCAAAAAUUUGAUAGAGAAAAGGAGGCGAAGCUUUGUUGGAUUUCUAGGCUGGGGAAGAUUCCAGUUUUUGUAGCAACUUCAGUACUGGUGAAUUGCUUGUAUUUUUGUCCAUAACUAAAUUUUGGACUUUGAAUUAUUAUUUGAUCUAUCAUAAUAUGUUUGGGAACAUAUAUAAGUGAAUAAAUAAGAAGGAAGAUUUUGGGCCCUUGUGGGUGUAAAACAAAAAAAUGUUUAGGUUGUGUGAACAAAAUUUGUUUAUUUGGAGCAAGGUUUUGUGUUGAAGCUUUGUAGGUGAAGCUUUGGUGUUGAAGCUUUCUAGGUGAAGCUUUGAUGGUGAAGCUUUGUAGAUGAAGCUUUGUAGAUGAAGCUUUUUUAGGUGAAGCUUUGUAGGUGAAGCUUUGAUGGUGAAGCUUUGUAGAUGAAGCUUUGUAGGUGAAGCUUUUUUAGGUGAAGCUUUGUAGGUGAAGCUUUGAUGGUGAAGCUUUGUAGAUGAAGCUUUGUAGAUGAAGCUUUCUAGGUGAAGCUUUUUUAGGUGAAGCUUUGUAGGUGAAGCUUUUUUAAGUGAAGCUUUGGGCCCUUGUGAAGCUUUGGAGGUGAAGCUUUUCGGGUGAAGCUUUUUUUGGGUGAAGCUUUUUUGGGUGAAGCUUUUGAGGUGAAGCUUUGUGGGUGAAGCUUUGGAGGUGAAGCUUUUCGGGUUUUUUUGGGUGAAGCUUUGAAGCUUUUGGGUGAAGCUUUUCUUUGUGGGUGAAACUUUGGAGGUGAAGCUUUUCGGGUGAAGCAAGGCCCAAGGCCCAAAUAUACGAGGCCCUAAAUAUGGUAUAAACACAACCUAAAUCAAGAACUCUAUCCCUAUAAAUAGGCUCCCAUUCUCACCAAAAACCUAGGUCCUCACUCUUGCUAAAAUUCUCCAAAGCUCUCAAACACUUUUAUCUCAAAAUUCUAACUUUGGCAUCGAAGGUUCUUCGGCCAAAGCCCCCCCCAUUCAUCGUGGGUGCGUGAGGCUCUUAGCCUUGACCUAAUGUGUUAUUUGUUUUGUAGGUGCAAUUUUGUCCAAGAUCAAGGAGGAAGAAAUUUGCAUCCACACACGUAGUGCCUAAUCAUUGGCUGUGCGGACUCCAUCUUUGCUACAUCAUUAAAUUAAUAGAAAAUUUGAUAUAAUCAAACGACAAGGACCACAUUGAUAUGCGGUGGUAAAUUUUAGGAACGACAUUGACUAAUUUUCAAAUUAAAUAAUCAAAAUGAUGAGUUAGGUCAAUUUCAAAGUAGAUAUAUACAACAUUGCUCCUAUGACCACAUCCUUACAUGGUGAUCAUGCUAAUAGAGCAGUGUCAUUUUGUCACACGUAUGCGUUUAUGUGAAAUUGAAUCACACAUUUUAUAUAAAGAUCAACAAAAGUUAGAUUUGCAGUAGGAUGGACUUCAUAUUAGGCUUGGCAAAUGAGUCGUGUUUAUAUCAUUUUCGUGUCAUAUACCCGUUAUCUUAAUGGGUUGUGUGAAACCUGUUAUCUUAACAGGUGACCCAUUAACAACCUCUUUCCUUAACAGAUCAUGUAUAUUUCGUGUCGGAUUAACGGAUCAUGCUAUAAAUUGUCAUGCUUAAUGUCUAAAUCUGGCAAACAAUAUCUUAUCUGAUUCUUAACAGGUGAUCCGAUAAACGAUCCGACCAGUUAACGAGUUCUUAAUGGGUUACUCGGUAACUACCCGACUCAUUAUCGGGUUGACCAGAAACUACUUAUUUUCAUAUUAUUUCUUGUCAGGUUAACGGAUCGUGUAAGAAAGUGUCUAACAUGCUCCAUAUAAUGGAUGUUUAAGAUAAACACUUUUUAUAUAAGUUUUUGUUAUAAUUUUCUUAUACAAUAAUGUUAUAUUAUCUUAAAUAUCUUCGCAAUGGCGUACAGUACCAGAAAUUUUUUAUUAUGAUCGGAAUACGGAUGAUACACUACGUGUUUUUAUAUAAGUGGUGAAAAAUUGUAUUUUUUAAGUCAUUAAAUUUUUAAUACACAUAUUUCACUAUAUGUAUAGUAACACGUAAUGUACUAUCUUAUAUUUCAAUCAUACUAAAAAAUCUCUCAGUAACCGUUUGUCAGUCUCCCAGUCUAAUCAAGAAUUCGUGAAUCACGAGGCCAACAAGUCUUCAUCCUACUUUAUAUAAGGACAUUGACCGGCACUUUUUUAAAUGCCUUUAGUCCCUCACCCACCCUCAAAACCUCACCACUUUCAUUUUUAUUUUGAAUAAUAAGAAGGUUAAAUUUAGAAAUAAAAUUUACAAAUUAAAUAAUAUGUCAUCAAUAAAAAUAAGAUAAACGAAUCAUCAAUUUUUAUAUCCUUUAGUUUUCAAAAUUUUAUCUCCUUAACAUUACACUUUUACUUUUGUUACAAAAUCUCACAACUUUAAAACCAUCCCAAAAGUUACAACAAAAAUCCAAUAAGAAACCGCAAAAUAUUGGUUUAAUAAAGAUUUGGAUUCUCCAUUCAAGUUCUAACUUUUACAAAUGUAUUUUUUUUAGUCAAUAGCUCUGAUUUGGGUUAAUAAAUACCAAAAAAUAUGAUUCCGCUUUAUAGAUGCUAAAGUCUCAUGAUGAAAUAAAUCAACAUGUUAUCAAUGUGAGGUGGAAUAUUUUCUAAAUUAAAAAAGAAAAAUGUUUACAUUCCUUCUAUAAGCGGACAUUCCUUCUAUAAGCGCAUGAGCUCAUUCUCCCACUUACUUAUAACUUAUAACGUAUAUUCAUCAUAAAAGUUUCAUAACUAAACCUUUCAAUCUUCUAAUAUUCAUUUGAAGAUUAUCCAUAUAAAAAGUCAUUUGAAUCAGAUACCGUUUAGUCAUCUAAAUGUAUGAAAAAAAAAUCAACGAUUCAUUAUGAAUAUGCUACUUGUUAUCAACACCGUUGAUUUAUUGAUACAUUUGGAUGACUAAACGAUAUCUAAUUCGAAUGAUUUUUAUAAAGAUGAUUUUCAAAUGAAAAUUAAGAGACUAAAUGGUUACGAUUAUGAAACUUCUACGAUUAAGAUAUGUUAUUUGCAAGUAGAGAAAUAAGUUCAUUCCCAUAAACAGAAUGAAGUAUUCGGUGUUCUAAGAAGCAGCGUAGCCAGCCCCUAGGCGAUAGGCCGUAAGUUGCCGCUGCGACAAUCCCUAAUCGGUCUGAAAAUUGGAAAGCUUGUUAAGCGGCUCCUUGAUUUUAAUCCCUAAUCCCUGAUUUUUUUUAUUUUUUUAUUUAUUAUUUAUUUUAUGCAAACCGACAGCGCAUUCGAAGAAGAGGAUGGCUUGUCUACAUGUUGUCGUUUUGCCAAAAGUUGCCUGUUUCGGUUUUUAUUCAAACUUUUUGUUAUCACUUUUCGUUUUCUUUUAUUUUAAUCAGCGAGUGACUUUUCACUUUUAUUAUUAUUAUUGUCUAUUUGUAAGACACUACUGUCUCUCACCAAUAAUAUCUGCACUUUUUUAUUUUGUCUUGGCUAUGUCUAUCCUAUAUAUUAAUAAUAGCACACCUUUUAUCAAUUUUUUUAAGAGUUUUAACAAAAAAAAAUUCCGAUACUGUUCAUUUUUAACGAAAAACUACAUUUAUAUAUUUUCCUGAUACCAUUCACUAUACCUUUAAAAAUGACUUUUCAUUAAAAGUGAAGGUUUUUUGGACUUUUCAUUAUUUUAUUUUUUUUGUUUUUGAACAAAGACCCUUUAUCAAUUAAAAGCUAAGGAGAAUAUAAGUGUAAAUAGUUACUUAUUUAUAUGAUACAUAAUAAAUUUGCUUAAUAUGUUUAGUCUGCCAAGUCGCCUAAACGUUAGGUCUUACUUCGCCACUCGACUAGAGCUUAGUGCCUUUUAGAACCAUGCAAUUGUUAUACUUAAAAAAAAUCUCUCGAUUCAAGGGAAAAGAGAUUAGUUUGGCUCAUCAAUGAACAAGGAGUUUCUCUUUAAUUCACCUUGUGGCCAAUUUAUGGGAUUUUAUGCUCUUAUGAGCAGAACCAUUCAUGUUAUAAAACAUUUUGUAAAGGCCAUCUCUUAAAAAAAAUCAAUAAACUAUGAGAUCGUUUAGUCAUCACACUGUAUAAAAACAUAUGAAAGAAUCUAGUAAAAGAAUUACAAAACCAUCUAUCCAUUAGCUACAAUAAUUGACUAGACGACUUUAUUUUCUAUUGAUCUUUUUUUUUUCUUUUUUUGGUUGACAACGGGGCUUAAUGCCGAAAGAAUAUGAAGAUUAGAUAAGAAUAUAACGAGGUCACGAGACCCAAACUAUAUUUGCAAUUAGUAACAGAUGACAAGGAGGUGCUUGCUCAAAAAAUACUGAACUCAAACUACAUGACAAACACAAACGAGCCAAAUCAUCAGCAACAAAAUUCUUUUCACGAUAGAUAUAACGAACUUCUAUUGAUCUUUUAAUUUUUGCAAAGUUAUUUAUAAUACGAACAAUUUCAAUAAACUAAAGGUAAUCGAUCACAAAGUAUCUUUAAAAAUAAAAUAAAAAAAAACCUCCUCAAUCUAUUUAAGGAGCCAACCUCGCUCAAGAGAAAAUCCAAAAUCCAAACUCCAAUAACAAAAAGCAAAAGCUUCUUCCCUUGUUCCGCCUUGCCCUUCCCUCUCCUUUCCUUCCAUCUUCUCAAGAAACAAACAGAAACCACUACAAGCAACAACAUUAGCAAGAAAAUAAAGAAAUACAUAAACCCAAUAAGCACCAUUACAAUCUCGAAGUACGACAUACAACCUCUCUCUCUCUCUGUCUCAAGAUUUCAGCUUCAGAAUUUGACAUCUGAAAGUGAAAAGUUAAUCUUUUUGUGUUUUUUUUUUCUUGAUUCCCAGAUCCGACUACGCAAAAGAGCGCAACACCCAAGACGGCCGGAGAGCGAUGUUGUCAUCGUCGACAACAAGCGUUCACGUCAUGGCCCUGGACGGCCUGGUCAACGUGAACUCACUCUUCACCAUCGCCGUCUUCGUGGGGCUUUCUCUGGCGACUCCGGGACAGAGGAGCCUCGAGAACCGGACAUCCUGCGACGCCGGGAUCGACGUGGCGAAGGAGCUGCUGGUGUUCGAGGUUGUCUCCUUCAGCUUCUUCCUGUUCUCAUCGCUGGUGGCGCAGGGACUGAAGCUGGCGAUCAACCUGCUCAACAGCAAGGAUGUCAAGGAGGCGUUGCAUACCAACAUCAAUAUGAAGGUGUUGAGAUUCGGGAUGUUGGGGUCGGCUUUCGGGUCGGUCAUGGGUUGCGUGUUUCUGGUGCUGUCGAUGGUGAAUGUGAUUCAGAUCAGGCUGGGGAUGCUUUCGUGUGGCAGCAAAUCCGCCGUCCAUGCUGUGGCGCCGCUUGUUGUUUUGGUCACGACGGCUCUUUUGGUUUAUAUUUCUACUGCUGUUUAUGCUUUUCUUCACUAGCUGCUGAAUGCAUAUUUAUGCAAGUCUCUUGUACGAUAUCAUGAAAGUGUAAGAUAGACCCUUAAGCAAUAUAAGAGCAAUUCCACCCCUAAGGACUUUGCGCCAGCACCUAGCGCAUUUAUCCACUCAAAUAAACAGUAACAGACUCUAAUGAACAGUAAUAGGUCAAGGCAUCUCCACCCCUAAAAAAAUGCGCUAGCACCUAGUGAAAAAAUGCGCUGGCACAAACGAUCUCCAUCCCUACAAAAUGCGCUGGCACCCAGCCCAUUUAAAAUAUUUUUAAAUUUUGUCUAAAAGAAUAAAAAAAUAAAAUAGUUUUAAUUUCGGAUAGGAUUUUUAAUCAAUCUCGUCACGCCACGUGUCAUUAUCUGAACGUACUAUUUUGUGAAUAGAUUUCCGCUAAGAUUUUCAACCAAUCCCGACACGCCACGUGUCACUUCCGUUUUACAAUAAUUUAGCCAAGAUUUCGAUAAGAUUUUUAACCAAUCACGUCAUGCCACGUGUCAUUAUCUGAACGUAUUUUGUGGAUAGAUUUCUGAUAAUAUUUUCGACCAAUCCCGACACGCCACGUGUCACUUCCGGUUUACAAUAAUUUAGCCAAGAUUUUGAUAAGAUUUUCAACCAAUCACGUAGUGCCACGUGGCAUUGUCCAGAACCUCAUCCUUUCUUUUUUUGUCCAUAUAAACCAUACAUCCCUACAUCCAUCCUCACACCAAGCUCAAUCCUUCUUUUUAGCUCAGAAUCCUUGUUCAUCGUUUUCAAAUCUUGAGUUCUUAUUACAAUGUCUUCUUCAAGAAGGGUGUAUAAACAGUUGCAGGAGCAACAACAAAGGUUGUUGGCACAACAGGCAGAAUUGGCCAAUCUCGAGGAAGGUGGAGGUGGAGGUGGAGAUGAGGCUUUCUUCAUGGAGGAGGAUGAGGGUGGAAUAAAUUAAAAUUUGGUGCGGGUGGAAUGCAUAUAAAAAUUACAUAAGAAAUAACAUAAAAAUUACAUACGAAAUUAAAUAAAUCAAAAUAUUGAUGUGGGUGGAAUGCAUAUAAAUAAAUAAAAAUAUUGUCACCUGAUCCGCUAAACUUGUCCCACUACGAAGGUUACCAGAAGCAUGAGAGAUGGCGUUUUUCUAACAAGUAAAGGAUGCGUUGAAUUUUUUCCAACGACCUUGAAGACCUUGACUAGUUCUGGCGUUUUCUCCAUGUACAUCUGUUGACCCUAGAAACUACCAAGCCUACGUGGCGCGCAGGCCGAGUAAUCUAUAAGCUAACUACGUCCUUCGGUGAAUGCGGGGCGUGCCAACUCGUCGGCCGAGCUCGGCCGAGGAGUAAAUUUUGCUGAUGUCGCGUUGGAUGCGCGGCUGACUUCUGCGUCUUGCGAUUGCGGCCGAGAAAGGAACGCGUCUCGGCCUUUUGGGCUCUCGAACCUGAAGACAAGGUUACUAUCCUUACGAAGUUCAAUAUCAAAUUCGGCUCUCAAUGUGCCGAAUGUAAUAACUGUAACACCUCACUUUGCCGAGAAGACUGAUGAGAUGACCUCGACCAAUAAGGAUUCAAAAAUCCUUCUCGACCGAGACUUGGAUAGGUAAUCAACCGUCCUCGCCGCAGUGCUGUUGAUGCCAACGAAAGAUGCUGCGAGACCGGCUGAUUCUACGGUGACAGAGCUAUCUAUGCCGACUUAAGAUAUCACCGGUUGCUUUCACAGUGCUGUUGAUGCCAACGGAAGAUAUGUCAGCGAAAAAAGAAAGAAAAAAUCUCAAGUUGUUGAGUUUGCGCAAGGCAGUUGUAUUCAUUUGCAGGUCAUUUUUCCGUUGUUCGUGACUCUGUAUUUAUAGUGGCUGAUGUACUUGCUUGGCACGGCUAGAUAGAGUUUGACUGCAACUCUAACUCACUAAAUAAAAUUUGAUCCAUAGCUUUUAAAAUUCUGCGACCUCCAAAAUAAAGCCCAUCCAGGCUUUAUCACAUCUAAUCUACCUAGGCUUCUGAUUUUAUUAAAACCUCCAGCAGAAACCUUCACUUCAAUCACACAAAAAGCCUAGUCUAGCUAGGUUUGUUGUGUCAUCAUCUCAACCUAGGCCUAUCACAUCACCACCAAAAUCCAAUCUAAUCCUAUCCUAUUUAGGCUUCUUCAUAAUCUAUGCAACCUGAUCCCCACCAUAUUUUAAAUAAACAAUAAUCAAUUUGCACCACACACCACACAUUCGCGCUCCAGAACACCCAAGUCAGAUUGACUUGUGCUGCCAUGUUUCCAGUUGGAAAUAUAUCUCUUAUCUUUCAUAAUAAAUUACUAUUAAAAGAUAAUUAUGAUAACACCAUAACAUUAUCCUUUAAUAAUAAUAAAAUGAAUUAUCUCUACUUUUCAUCUGACGGUGUGAAACUUUGCUCAUUCAACGGCCUUGAUUACACGGGCCGAUUGUGUAAAUUUGGGUCCAAACAACAUCGCAAAACGCUUUCGUAAUUUUACUCCACAUUUCUCGCUUAUCCAUCACAUUCCCCGUAAUUGGGUCAUGAGUAGUGUGAACCCAACAUUCACACAACGUAAUAUCUUCAAUGAGCCUCCACGAAGACAUUUUUUCUCUUAAAGUGUAGAAAAUAUUGAAAUGUAGAUAGUAUAGAAAGUGUAGAAAAUAUUGAAAUGUGGUGUAAAGGUGGAAGAUGAGGGUUAGGUAUUUAUAGGAAAAAAUUUAACAUUUUUCAAAAUUUUCUGUAAUUUUUUUAAAAUUUUAUGUAUUUUUUAAUAAUUUUUCUGUAUUUUUUUAAUAAUUUUUAAUGAAUUUUAAUAUAGUUAAUUAAUCUGGACCGUUGGAUUUGAAAAAUAUUCAAAUCCAAGAGACAGGGAGUUGCCACGUAGCCAACGGACAUAUUUCUGACCGUUGGGCCUUUUUUUUUACUUUUUUGUGAAAAAAAGUGGACCGUUGAUCUUUGAUCCGACAGUCUAUUUUAAAAGUAAAAUUAAAAUUUUUUUUACCGUUGGAUUUCCAACGGCACAAAGAGAGCCACGUCGCCAACUCGGGGGGGGGGGGAACUGAGUGCGCUUGCACGCGGGCCCGCGUUCUGAAAUCCUGUCGGGCACUCGCUCCAGCGCCUCCGUGAAGCGCACGCGCCAGGCAAACUGCCCAACUUCUUGCUCAGUCUUUUUUGGGCUGGUCCAGAGCCCAGCUCGGGCUGGGUACCAGUCAAGUUGAGGGGGUGGACUUGGUUGACAGGGUCCUGGCCUUGUUUUUGUGCUGGGUCCUGGGCAAAGUCCACUGGGGUGGAAUUUCUCUAAGGGCCAACUUUAUAUUAACUUAACCACCAACCUAAAGAGAAUGCAUAUUUAUGCAACUCUCUUAUACGAUAUCAUGAAAAUGUAAGUUAGACCUUAAGCAAUAUAAGGAGUGACUCUAUGGAUUCAUUUGGAUGUACUUUUAAAAAUGAUUAAAAAAAAAUUUGGUUAAAUUGAUUUGAGUUCCAAAAGCACUUUAAGUGACUUUUUGAAGAAGCAUCAGAUAUGUAUUUCUUGUAGGAAGCACUAAAGUACUUUUCCAGGAUCCAUUUGGAUUUUUACUAAGGAUUGGUAUCAAAAACAUUUUCACCAAAAGCGCUUUCACUCAUUUUAAAAGCACAUCCAAACGAGCCCUAUAUCAACUUAGCCACUAACCUGAAGAAGAUAUCGUCUCAGGAAAUAAGGCAAGGAACUAAAGUUCUUCUACAACUCUACACAACUGGAAAACAAGGCUCACUAAAUGGGGCUUGAGUAUUUCUAUAAAACUUGCGUGUAAAGUGAGAGUGUAGGGACCUUAGUUAUAUAUUGUAUGUGAUGGGUCUUUGAUUAGGAGUCCUCCCCUUAAGAAAACCUUAUCAAAGAUUGACCUUAUCAUCGAGAAUCACUUAUGCAUUAUAUCGGCUAGUAGAGUUCUAAUUUAUCUAAGAGUGUUUCUAACUUGAAUACCGAAGGAAUACAACUCCUGAAAAGUGUACCACAUGUGUCAAUCCUAAUCUCCUUGUUGUCCCAAAAGUCUUUGUACAAAUUACAAAGUGUUUGCUCUCAAAUAGUACUUACAUUCUCCCACUAGAGCAAAUACUUUGUAAAGUUGUAUAAUUAUACUUGAGUUGGAAAGAAUCUGUAUUGGUCAUGAGAUUAGUAUUCGACACUUCUUAGUUUACCAGUCUUUGUCAUUGUCAAGCAUUUAUGUGAACUAUAGGGUAACACACUCAAUUCAUUGAAGAGUACCAUCCCCAUAAUUACUUACAAUAAAACUUACCAACACAUAAGACUCCAGCAAGAUAUAUGAUAUGUAAGACACAGCUGAACAUGUAUUAAAUGUGUUAAACAUUUGGUCCAUUUUCCGAAUUGAAAACGAUCUUUGUGCUUCUAUAUGAAGCCCUUAGGAUGUCUAUCACUUUAUAAUGAAUGAAAAAUCAUAAAGUAUCAUGUAAUAAACACAUUCAUGCAUUAUCAUAACUAAUAGUUGAACUCUUUAAGGGAACUUGAACAACCUUUCAACAUUAUUCUUUACUAGCUAAGAAAACUUCAUCAUUAAUACUCAAAACUUAUCCUCCAUAGCAUAAACUGUAACUGAAUAAAAACUAACAUAAAGGUUAAACCAAUUACAUAACUCCCACUAAUUCGCUGCAUCGAAAUCAGCCAAGACUCUCAUUCUAGUGACAUGCUUCUUAAAGACAAUCAUGAGAACUGCUUUAUUUAAUGGAUCAACAAUCAUUUAUCCAGUCUCCAAAUAAUCGACUUUAACUAAUCCAGCUACCACCUUCUCUCGAGCAAUGAAAUACUUUCUAUCCAAGUUCCUUGUUGCAUUAGACCUCUUAUUAUUCUUAGUAAAGAAUAUGGCUGCAUUGUUAUCACAUAAAUCUGUAUAGGUCUCGAUAUAGAAUCCACAGCUUGAAGCCCAAGUAUGAAGUUCUUCAACCAAAUAGCUUGAUCCACUGUUUCACAAACUGAUAAAUAUUCGACAACUAUAGUUGAUGCUGUCACAGUUCCGUGUUUCACAUUUUUCCAAGAGACCGCACCACAUGCCUUUAGGAAAACAUAACCUGUCAUCGAUUUCAUAUCAUAUGGGUAACCUGUGUCUAAAUCAUUAUAUCCUUCCAAAACCAAACUCCGAGUUCUUCUAUACACUAACAUAUGGUCUUUAGUUCUCUGAAGGUAUCUCAAAACCCUUUUGGCAGCAUUCCAGUGGGCUUCUCCAACAUUGGAUUGAAACCUACCAAGCACAAAGAUGGUGAAAACCAAGUCAGGCCUUGUGCACACCUGUGCAUACAUCAAACUUCCCACCAAAGUACAUUUGGUUUGUCUUCCAUAGUCUUCCUCGCCAAGUCUGUUUUUGGACAUUGCAGUUUACUCAAUUUAUCACCCCCUGAUAUAGGCAUUUAUGUGGUUCCACAUGAAGACCUGUUGAAUCUUUUUAACUCUUUUUCUAUGUAUGCCCUCUGUGACAAUCUCAGUAAACCUCUCAUUCUAUCUUUUUUGAUCUCAAUCCCCAAAACAUGUCGCUUCUCCCAGGUCCUUCAUUUCAAAAUGCUUCUAUAAUAAUGUUUUUGUCUCAUCCAACAAAUUGUGACUAUUUGUGGCAACCAAUUUAUCAUCCACAUAGAGAACUAGGAUGAUAAAGUUGCUCCCACUGAACCUUAGAUAGAUGCAAUUGUCUAAAGGGUUUUCAGUGAAGCCAUGUUCUUUCACAACUCUAUGAAACUUCAAGUACCGCUGUCAUAAUGCUUGCUUCAAUCCAUAAGUGGAUUUGUUGAGCUUGCACACUAAGUUUCUUCCUUCUCCCUCUUUAAAACCUUAUGGUUGUCGCAUGUAAAUACAUUAUUUCAGAUCCCCAUUCAGGAAUGCCGUUUUUACAUCUAUUUGAUGUAAAAUUAAAUCAAAAUAAGCCUCCAUAGACAUGAUAACCCUAAAAUCAUCUUUUGUUGAUACAUGACUGAAUGUUUCUUUAUAGUCUACACUCUCAUUCUGUGUGAAGCCUUUUGCAAUGAGCCUGGCUUUGUGCAUUUCUAUGUUUCCAUUUGAAUCCCUUUUUUGUUUUAAAGACCCAUUUGCACCCUAUGGGUUUUGUUCCUUCUGUAUGUUCCACUAAGUCCCAUACUUGGUUGUUUGCCAUCGAGCUUAAUUCACUCUUCACGCCUUUAUCCACUUGUUUGCAUUUGGUCCUGCAAUAGCUUCUUUGUAACUCAUCAGAUCAUUUAACUCUGAAAGAUCAGUGUCAACCUCUGUCAAAUACACGAAAUCACUUAAGGUUGUAGGUUUUCGAACCCUAGAUGACUUUCUUACAGCACCUGCAACCAUAAAAUUGUCUUCUUGUGCUUGUUGUUGUUGAUGAUUUUAUGUCAUAGCAUCUUCAAGAACAUCUUGAAUAACUGUAUUAUUAUGCAGUUCAGUGUCAUGUGCAGCCUCUAUCUCGUUGUAUGGUUCAUCAGAAUCAUUACUUCUCAUGUUCUCAGUUACUAUAAUCAUUAGUGCCAUUACCCAUGUGUUACGAUCAACUUCCUCAACUGUAGCUUCUAUUUUCAUUAGUGUCUUCUUCAAAUACGAAUUCUUCAACCCUUGUUCCAGAAUCAUUGCUUGCAUCAGACUCUAUGAAAACUGCUUUUCCAAUUUCGACAAUUCUAGUAGUUUGAUUAGGGCAAUAGAAUCUAAAACCCUUCGAUCUCUCAACAUAUCCAAUAAAAUGACAACUAAUAGUCUUGGAAUCGAGUUUCUUGUAGCCUGGGUUAUAGAUUUUUGCCUCUGCCCUACAACUCCAUACAUGCAGAUGGUUCAAACUUGGUUUUCUGCCUGUCCAAAGUUCGAAAUGUGUCCCUUCCACAGAUUUUGAAGGUACCCUAUUAAUUAUAAAAUUCACAGUUUUCACUGCUUCACCCCACAAACAACUUGGAAGAUUGGUUUUACAAAUCAUGCUUCUUAGUUUUAAUUUGCAACCUUUUUUUAUUUUUAAAUUUGUACUAAUUUUCUUUUUAGUUUUAAUUUGUAACUAUAUAUUAAUCUAAAUUUCUAAUUUUUUAUUUGUAACCAUAAUUUAUUUAUAAUGUAACCAUUCUACUUUAUAAAUGUACCACUUUGUUAUAUGUAAAAUGUUCCAAUUUUUGUCUAAAUGUAUCAUUUUUAUGUGAAAUGUACCCAUUUUGUAGUAUAAAAUCUAUAAAUGUAUCAUUUUUCAAUUUCAAAUUAACCCUGAUUUAGAAGUAUACAAUAGAACAUUUAUUUUGUUCAAAAAAAGAAUAUACAAAUUGUGUGUGUGUGUGUGUGUGUGGUGUAUUUUUUUUUUUUAACAAAAUGGUGCACAUUGUAUAUUCUUUUCCUUGGGUACAUUCUUUUUAUUUUUUAUUAAAUAGUUUGUUGAGCCAAAAUUAAUGUGUACAUUAUUUUCCUCUUGUUUUAAAUGUACCCAUGAUUUUUUUUUCUCUUAUCCUUUUUUAUUUGGGUACGUACAUUGUUGUGUCAUGCAGGAGUACAUUUUUGCUGUUGUCAAGUUCAUGGGUACAUGCAAAAUUAAUUUACUAGGUGUAUAUUAUUUCACUUGACACUACUCAUUAAAAUUUGCAAAACUUUGUGCACAAUGGUUUGUUAUGUACAUUGUUUUUAGUCUCAUAAUCCAUGAGACUUUUACCAUUUAUAGUGCGAAAAUGGUGAGAUUUGUUAAAUACAAUUUAAGUUAAAAGAGAAAAUAACUAACAUAAAAUAUAUUAAUGCUAAUAUGCUAAUGUGUACAAAGUUAAACGACUUUGAUCAAAAUAUAAAAAUCAAUAAGGUUUCAAUUAAAAAAUAUUGGUGAUUAGAGACCGCAUCCAAAGUAUCUCUUAUUAUUAAUAGGUAAAAUAAAAACCCAAUAACACUAGCUUUGAAAUAGAAAUCAACUUUCUUUUCAUGGAAGGAGCAUAAACAACAGUAUCGAACUCUAAAUAAAAACCAAAUUCUAGUUUUAGCCUAACACUUCCUAAGGCUUUGACUUCAACUCUCCUUCCAUUGCCAACCGAAAUUUUGACUUCAUCCUUAUUUGGUGUUCUCCUUGUUGUGAAGUCCUGCAAUGAAUUUGUAACAUGUAUAGAAGAGCCUGAGUCAAGCCACCAUUAAGUGCUAGGUAUGUUAAUUAAAUUAAAUUUAAAACAAGCAAAAACAUUUUUACCUUUCUUUACUUCUUGUUUGGCAAGCCAAGCCUUAUAUUUGGGAUAGUUUCUCUUCAUGUGGCCUUCUUUUUUGCAAAAAUAACACUCGAAAACUGAAGGUUUAUUAAGUUUGAAGUUUCUUUUAGGUGAGGGAGCCCUUUUGGUAACAUCCUUUUUGGCAGCAUCAGGGACAUAAGGUUUGGUAGCUUUAAUGGUACUUUGCACGAAGUUCACAUACUCAUACUUCUCUUUUUCAGACUUUUCUUUCUUCAUCCUCUCUUCUUCACUCACACAAAUGGCUAUCAACUUAUUCACAUCCCAUUUUUCACGCAGACCAUAAUAAUAGACUUUGAGUUGUUUAUAAUUCUCAGGCAAGGAAGGAAUUCAUUAUCACAUGUAGGGCUGGAAAAAAAUCCCAAAAAUCCCAAACCAAACCAAAAAAAUCCCGAUCCCAAACCAAAAUUCCCGAAAGUUUCGAGAUGUAAUCCCAAACCAAACCGAAAGUUUCGGUAUGGGAUUCGGUAUUGCAUUUCAUUUUUUCGGUAUUCCCAUACCGAACCGAAAAAAAAAUAUAAAUAUAUAUAUAUAUAUAAUUUUUUAAUUAUAAGAGAAUUAUUUCAACCGUUGAUUGUUUUGGAUUUAAUCUGUGCCGUUGAUUUGUUUUUAGGUCAUAUCACAUUUCACUUUUGUAGUUCCUCCGUUCAUUUGUUUGGAAGCGCAACCCUGAGCCUCCGGUCCUCACCAACGUCGUCCCUCACCAUACUGUCGAAUUCCGACCAGCCACCGGCCCACCACCACACCAUACUCUCAUCUCUGACUCUCCAGCCUUCCUUCACCACACAACCACCGCUCUCUCUCGCGAUCUCUCUCUCUCUAGGGCGAUUGUCUUUCACGGACAGGUCAGGUCACAGAACUGGGGAUCUCUCUCACGGUCUCACCACUACACCGAGUCUGAGUCUCACUCUCACCCCAAAUUAGGUAAUUAAUUUAGUUUUCUGAAAUCUCUCUAUCUCACCGUCACACACACACCUCUCGCUCUCUCUCUUUUCUUUUGCGAUUUUGUCUCUUCAUCUGGAUCGUCUUUGAAAUGAUAGUAUAUAUUCGUCAUUUGCAUGUUAGUAUAUAUUCGUCAUUUGAAAUGAUAGUAUGUAUUCUCUCUGUAAUAUGAAGUUAUGAACAAUCCUCUGUAAUAUGAAAUGAUUGCAUAUUCUCUGAAAGAAUUUUUCGAAUUGGGUAGAAAAAAAUACCAAUUACAUAUGUGAUUCACAUGUGCCAGAAACGUAUCAGAAAUUGGUACCUCAAGUGCAUUGAGUUUUCUAGCCACAUCCACCAUCUUCAAUAUGUACUCUCGCACACUUUGGAUCCCAUCAUAUCUCAUGUUAGUAAGAGCAUUCAUGAGAUUACCUGUCUCAGUUUUUGGCGACUCCCUAUACUUGUCAUCAAUGGACUUUAGAAAGUCUUUUUCAUUUGUUGCAUCAGGAAAGCCACUUUUCACCACAUCUGUCAUGAUCCUUUUGAUGUCAACAGAAAGAUUCUGUUGGAUUUGUGCCAUUUUUAAUACUUGGAUUUCUGACUGGAUGUGCUGUCAUCAGUAGGUGUUGGAGGCUCCUUAGUUCUCAGCGCCAUACCCUAGUCCAUGACUCCUAGAACGAUUUCGAGAUCUUGUUUCCACUUUCUGUAGUUGACACCAGUAAGAGGCUCAACUGUAUUGAGGUUCAUCGAGUUGGGAUUCACUGAAGAAGACAUUCAUUAUGUAAGGAGUAUUAAUCUUUAACCCCAACCUAUAAAUCACCUUUUUCAACAUCUUUAGGCUGAUUAAUAUGUGAAAGCUGUCUUUAAUCACAUCGCUGAUUAAUAUGUGAAAGCUGUCUGUAAUCACAUCGCUGAUUAAUAUGUGAAAGCUGUCUUUAAGCACAUCACUUUAUAGUCAACAAUCGAAUUUUUGUAAUUAAGAUCACAAGCCUUCGUGGUUGAAAAUAUUAAUUUGAUUCAAAUAUAUAAUAUGCUGCUUAAAUAAAUUCGAAGCAUGAAAGAAAGAUCGUCCUUAGAUGAGUGAUCAUGUCUUGAAUUUAAGCACCAUUACUGGUGCAUGUAUCGACUGAAAAAUAUGUAUAUCCUUAUGAUCAAGAAAACUUUAGUCAUCCUUGAACGUGUUUAUAUAUUUUUCCCUGAUGAUACAGUUCCAGUUCCAUAACAUGCGAGACAAAUUAAAAUUUCUUGAUGCCUUCUACGUAGGGUCGAAUGAUAUGUGAGGGCUCUGAUAUCAAAUGUAAGAUAGACCCUUAAGCAAUAUAAGGACUGACUCUAUAUCAACUUAACCACUAACAUAAAGAAGACAUUGUCUCAGGAGAUAGGGCAAGGAAUUGAAGUUCUUCUGCAACUCUACACAAUUGGAAAGCAAGGCUCACUCAAUGGGGCUUGAGUAUUUCUAUAAAACUUGCAUGUAAAGUGAGAGUGCAGGGAUCUCAGCUAUAUAAUGUGUGCAAUGGUCUUCGAUUAGGAGUACUCCCAUUAAGAAAACCUUAUCAAAGAUUAACCUUAUCACCGAGAAUCACUUAUGCAUUAUAUCAGCUAGUAGAGUUCUAGAUUAUCUAAUAAUGUUUCUGACUUGAAUACCAAAGGAAUACAGCUACUAAAAAGUCUACCACAGGUGUCAAUCCUAAUCUCCUUGUCGUCCCAAAAGUCUUCGUACAAAUUACAAAGUGUUUGCUCUCGAAUAGAACUUAUUGAAAAUUGCAUAUUUUUGUCUCCAGGUAUUGAAAUAUCAUUGUAAUGGUAUCUAUGCGAAUUUCACAUAUUUCUUUGCACGGAAGUUCUUUGUUCGAGAUUUUAGGUGACCCUGUUUUGGUAGAGAGUGACAAAUCUUGAAAAGAGGCAACUUAAAAUAGACUUUGCUUCAUUUGAGUACUUAGGUAAUGUUGGUCGGACACUUGGAAUUAGGGGGGUUAUGGGUUACAGAUAUUUUGGAGAUAAACUUACCCAGACUGGCGAUGACCUUGUGGCGAUCUCAUAGCCAAUCGAUCACAUAUGCGUUAUCAUGUGGAGUAGGACUCUCGGUCGCGAUAUUGUUAUGAGAUAUUGUCACGGUAGCAUCCCGUUGCGAUAUCCAUUAAUUCCAUCCAGUUGCUAGUGAAAAAUAUGGUUGACUUUUGUACGACACCAUUAGGUGAUAUUAGAAUACGGUUUUUGGUGUCUUUCCCUUCUUGACGGGAGGAGACAUCAACUCAUCGGAACAGCCAUAAUUGGCCAUGAUAAAUCUGUAUAAACUCGGAUUGACAUGUUCAUUUGGUUGCAUUGGACUCGUUUCAACAUCCCGAUUAACUGUUGGUCUUGGUCUUGCAUUUGAGACCCUUGUUUUUUCGUUUGUCGAACAUUUCCACCCAAAUCGAACUCGUGCUUGACUUGGGGCUAGGGUUUCCACAACAACUAGAAAAGGGAAAUUAUAAUCUCAUUUCAAUUUUUGUUUACUGAUAUGCUACUUGGUAUCAACAUCGGUGAUUUAUUGAUACAUUUGAUACUAAACGAUAUCUGAUUCGAAUGAUUUUUAUAGAGAUGAUUUUCAAAUGAAGAUUAAGAGAUUGAAUGGUUACGAUUAUAAAAUUUUUACAUUUAAGAUAUGUUUUUUGCAAGUGGAGAAAUGAGAUCAUUUCAAUAUAUGAGAAUGAAAGUAUUCAGUGUUCUAAAAAGCAGCCUAGGCAACUCCUAGGUGUUAGGCGGUGAGUUGUCACUGCGACAAUUCCUAAUCAGUCUGAAAAUCAAAACGCUUGUUAAGCGGCUCCUUGGGUGGAGCUAGGUACGGUAGGCGGAAAUUUGUAGAGAGCUAUGCCGGAAUCUGAAUUUUUUUGUAUGCAGACCGACGACACAUUCGAAGAAGAAGAUGGCUUGUCUACAAGUUGUCGUUUUGCCAAAGGUUGUCAGUUGCUGUUUCAGUUUUUUAUUCAAACUUUUUUGUUUUGAGAGCCCACCAUUUUUUUUUUUUGAUUUUUUUAAUGGGAAACUCCCAAUGAAAAAUCAUAUUUUUAUAUUAAAAAGUCAAUCCUGGUACUAUUCACUUUACUUUUUAUUUUGUCUUUAUCAUUAAAACUCAAAAUUUUGAAGCCAUUUUCAUUUUUUUUUAUCACUUUUCGUUUUCUUUUCUUUAAUCAGUAAGUGACUUUUUCACCUUUAUUGUUAUUAUUUUUUUUCUCGUUUUAAGACACCAUUGUCUCUCACCAAUAAUAUUUGUACUUUUUUAUUUUGUUUUGGUUAUGUUUAUACUACAUAUUAAUAAGGGGUGUGUAGAUAUACACACCAUUUUUUACUUCUCACACACCUCUUAUUAAUUUAUAUCCGUUGAUCUUCUUCAUUUCAUCCGAUCCGAAAGCCGAAAAUUGGAAGGGUGUAUGAGAAGUAAAAAAUGGUGUGUGGAGAUCACACCCCAUUAAUAAUAGCAUACCUUUUAUCAAUCAAAAGAUAGGGUAAAAACAAGUAUACGGGUAGAUAAUUACUUAUUUAUAUGAAAUAUAAUAAGUUUACUUAAUCUGUCUAGUUCGUCUAGUCGCUUAGAUGCUAUGUCCUAACUCGUCACUCGUCUAGCUAGGCCGUAGCCCGCUACUCAACUAUAGCUUAGCGUCUUUUAGAGCCAUGCAAUUAUUAUCCUUAAAAAAAAUCUCCAGAUUCAAGAGAAAAGAGAUUAAUUUGGUUCAUCAAUGAAUGAGAAGGAGUUUCUCUUUAAUUCACCAUGUGGCCGAUUUAUGGAGAGAUUUUUUCAGUGUGAUCGAAACAUGGGGUGAUACACCACUUGUCACUAUACAAAUGGUGGGAUAUGUGUGUUAAAAAGUUAAUAACUUAAAUAUUAAAAUUUUGGGUAAAUUACACUUUACCACCUUAUACAACACUUCAAAACAUUUCACUUUCAUACCUCACCUACUAUUUAAUUUUAAUAUAGUACCCCCGUUACAUUUUCCAUCCAUUGAUCCAUUAAGAGCUGGUGUGGCGGACACAUUUGUGCCACGUGGCAAAAAAUUUAAUUUUUUAUUCAUUUAAAAUAUUAUAAUAAUUUACCCCUAAAAAAAACUCAAACUCAAAACCACCUCUCUGCAACCCCCACCCCUGCAAACAAACCCAGAAACAUUCACCCCCACCUCCCUCUCCUCCACUCUCUUCACCUCCCUUCCCAAAAAUCCUUUUCUCAGUCCUCUCCUCACUCACCAUUUCUGACUGUUUCUCUCUAUCUCCCCUCUCUCUCUAGGAGAUGAGUCCUCAAACCCUAACCUUAAUCUCAUGCACUAUUCUCUCUUCUUCUUCCUCUUCCUAUCGCCGAUCAAUUCGUAGAGACACUCGUCGACGAUCUCCGCUCCCACAGAAAAAGCAAGAGCUUGGACGGAGGGGGUGGCUUGGGUGGGAUUUUUGGGCAUGGCGGUGGUCUCCGGGAAGGUAGGGGUGGGGUGGGGGGUUGCGGGGGAGGUGAGGGUCGGGUGGAAUGGGGUGGGAUGGGAUGGGGUGUUUGGGUUGUAGGGAAGGGGGAGGGUCGGGGGGUUCUAGGUUUGUUUGGUUUUUUUUUUAAAUAGGGUAAAUAUUAUUAUAUUUUAAGUGCAUAAAAAUUAUUAUUUUUGCCACAUGGCAUAAAUUUGGCAGCCACAUCAGCACAAAUAUGGAUCCCAUAUUUACCACGUCAUCAUUUAACGGUUUACUUAAUGGAUUUUCUAACGGAUGUAUGAAAUUGAAAUAAAAUGAUAAGUAAAUGUAUGAAAUUGAAAUAAAAUGAUAAGUAAAUGUAUGAAAUUGAAAUGUUUUAAAGAUGUUGUAAGAAAUUGAAAUUGACCACAAACAUGAGGGGGUAAAAUGUAAUUUACCCUAAAAAUUUUCACCACUUAUAUAAAAACACGUGGUGUACCACUCAUGUUCCGGUCACAAUGAAAAAAUUUCCGAUUUAUGGGAUUUUAUGCUCUUAUGAUCUGAACUAUUCAUAUUAUAAAAACACUUUGUAAAGAUCACUCUUCAAAAAAAUCAAUAAAAUAUGAGAUCGUUUAGUUAUCAAACUGUAUAAAAACAUAUAAGCGAAUCUGGUAAAAGAAUUACAAAACCAUCUAUCUAUUAGCUUCAAUCAAUUGAUUAGACGACUUUAUUUUCUAUUGAUCUUUUUUUUUUGGUUGGCUACAGGCAUAGAUUUAAAUAUCGAUAUUAUCGGCGAAAUAUCGCUGAUAAUAUCGAUUUUUCGGGGAAUGGAUAUUUAAAUAGGUAUCCGUGUGAUUUUCGUCAAAAUAUCGCGAUAUUAUCGAUAAUAUCGCGACAUUUUUUGGAACUGUGCAAUCGGACUCUGAGAAUAACGCCGGAGAUGGUGUGCCUAUUCCCGAGCCGAUUUCGUCCCAAAAACCUUGCAAAAACACGAUUUUUAACAUCAAUUUCACAUAUAAACUUCAGAUUUCACGCAUGCAAGAGGUAAUCAACAUAGGGUUUAGUCGGAUCUCACCUGAAAACUUGGGUGUGCCUGGGUGUGGGUGCGAUCGGGGAAGCCGAGCUUCCUCUGCGCGUCGCCGUGCUUCCCAGAGACGGAGGAGAGGGAGGGAGGGUGGUGGAGACGCUGCGCUGGCAUCGGGGUGGACGGAUUUGGGUGUGCCUGGGUGUGGGUGCGAUCGGGGAAGCCGACCUUUCUCUGCGCGUCGCCGUGCUUCCCAGAGACGGAGGAGAGGGAGGGAGAGUUCAGGAGGGUGAGAGUUCAGGAGGAAAGGGAGGGAGAGUUCAUGGGAGGGAGAGUUCGAGAUAGAGAUAGAGUUGAGAACUCUGAGAGAGUGAGGGGUCCGAGAGGGACUCGGGAAAAGAGAGAGAGAUAGGGUGAGGGUUAGUGGGCUGCCACGUGGCAGCGUGACAGAGAGUGAGAAUCAAGAUGAAGGGUCCAGAUUAGAUUAGGAUAAAGGACUCAAUUGCACAAUUUAUAUAAUUUCAGAAAAAGAGUGAAAAUAUAAAUUAAUCUGGGGGUCUAGAUUAGAUUAGGAUAAAAGACUCAAUUUCAGGGAAAAAGUGAAAAUAUAUAAUUUCAGGGAAAUAGUAGAAGUUGUAUUUAUUGGUUAGGCAUAUGGAAAUGCAAAAAAUUGUUUUUCUAAUGAUUCUAAUCAAUUUCAAGAAAAAUAAUGAAUUUAUAAGGGUAAGAUGAGUCUAUAAAAGUGAUAUAAUGAGUCUAUAAGAGUGUCGGUCAGUUAGACAAUUUAGAUUUUUUUAAUCAUUUUUGCCAAUUGGCUUGUUAUCGCCUUUUUUUUAUUAUCAAAUUGGAUUAUUAUUCAUUAAAUUGGAUUAUUAUCAAAUUGGAUUAUUAUUCAUCACCAUGUUUUAUAUUAGGAUUAUUUUUUUAUGAAAUUGGAUUAUUAUUCAUGAAAUUGGAUUAUUAUUCAUUAAAUUGGAUAACUACUCUUCACAAUACACUCACUAUACACAUAGAGAUGAUGAAGAUAGUGAAAAUUUUGAACCUCAUAGGAACUCUAUGUGGUACUAAGUCACUUAUGUAUCUUACCAUGCAAUGUAUAAAGUGUAAAAUAUUGUACUAAUUCAUUAUAUAUAAAUGAUUAUGGUGUGUUUAGACUUCUUUCAUUAAUUACUACAUAUUUUCUACACUCACAAUGUUUGUCAGCUCGCUAUAUAAUCAACUUGAUAAUGUUAAAUCCAUCAUGCAAUGCAUUUCUUUCCAAUUUUUUGUGAUAAACUAAUAGAUAAUUGACUAAAUAAACAUCCUACAAAGUUUCAAUAAAAAUUUCCAAGUUUUUCUUACAAUUUUCGUGGUUUCCAUGUAAUUUUUAUCGAUAUCGAUAUUUUACCGAUAUUUCCAUCGAUAUUUCCGUGUUUUCGGACUACCGAUAUUUCCGAUAUUACCGAUAUUUUCUUCCUUGGCUACAGGGCAUAAGCCCAAACGACAAAGGAAGUUACAUAAGAAUAUCACGAGGCCACGAUACCCCAGCUAUAUUUGCAACUAGCAACUGAUGGCAAGGAUAAGCCUGCUAAAAAAAACCAGACUCAAACUGCAUGACAAACCCAAAUGAACCAAAUCAUCAUCAACAACAUUCUUUUCACGAUAGAUAUAACGAACUUCUAUUGAUCUUUUAAUCCUUACAAAGUUAUUUAUAAUAUAAACGGUUCCAAUAUAAUCAAAAAGUACAAUGAAUUGAUCACAAAAUAUCUUGAAAAAAAACUUCAAUCGUUUUAAGGAGCCAACCUCACUCAAGAGAAAAUCCAAAACCCAAUAACAAAAAACAAAAGCAUCUUCGUUUGUUCCCCUUCGCCCUUCCCUUUCAUUUCCUUCCAUCUUCUCAAGAAACAAACAGAAGGGUUUUUAUCACAAAUGGUUAUUGAAAUUGACUCUCACUAUCAAGAUGAUAUCUGAAAUUGAAAAUCAAUCAAUGUAGUCCUUGAAAAUAGGUGUCGUAAAUCAAUGUGGUCAUUUCGUCACAAUUCUGUUUAAAAUUUCGUUAAAUGCUGACGUGGCAUAUAAAUGGGUCCCACAAGAUUUACAGGUUUUUAUCAUAAAUUGCCCCUGAAAUUGACCCACACCAUCAAGAUGGUCUCUAAAAGUGAAAAUCAAUGAAUGUAGUCCUUGAAAAUAGAUGUCACAAAUCAAUAUGAUCCUUCUGCCACAAUUUUGUAAAAUUUUCUGUUAUGUGCUGACGUGGGUUUAAUAAUAAAUUAAAAAAGUUGACUAAAUAUCUUUUUGCACAAUGAUUUUUUUUUUUUUUUUGGUUAUAGUAGGGCCUACUUCGAAGAGAGACCCUUCCAUAAAUUCUCAAGAGCACAAAGCUUAACCAAGGCCUAAGAGAGGGUUUGGUAAUAGUUUUCAACCAACAAUAGACACACCUCGGUUAUAAUAUUAUUAUCUCAAGGCAGACCUCGUUGUUCUUUGAAUCACCGUACCGCCAGGAAAGCACUUAACAAACUCUCCAAAAUUAAGAUUGUAAGGAUGUUGAUCGCCUAAAUGUUAAGGGUGAUGUCCUAGAAGUCUUUGCCAGUCAACUAAGCCGUCACCAAAAGUGAUCUCGAUCCAAGUUCAAUUCGAUGAAGAGUAUCGAAGUGUGUAAAGAUGGGUGUAUUGAGAUUUUUUUUUAUUAUAGAGAAUAUGCAGCAAAGGAGGUAGACGAAUGUGGACUGGGAUCGGAGGUGAUUACAGGACUGGAUUUUUGGGUUGACAACUAUUUAUUAACUAUUAAAUUAUUAAACCUAUUUUUAAUUUUUUUAAAUUUAAUUAGACUUAUGUGACCGAUUUAUGUGUCAAAUCAGCACAUAACAAAAUUUUUGACCGAAUGAUGACGGAAUGACUAUAUUGAUUUGGGACACUUACUUGCAGGACUGCAUUGAUCGAUUUUCAAUUUUAAAGACCAUUUUGAUGUCGUCAGUCAAUUUCAGGGACCAUUUUGAUGUGGCAAGUCAAUUUCAAGGACCAUUUGUGAGAAAAAAAAAAGAACUUAUGGGACCCAUUUAUGUGUCACAUCAACACUUAAUAGAAUUUUUAACAGAAUUAUGACAUAAUGACUACAUUAAUUUGCAACAUCUAUUUUCAAAAAUUACAUUAAUUGAUUUUCAAUUUCAGAUACUAACUACGAUAAAAACCCCAAAUAUACACCACUACAAGCAACAACAUUAGCAAGAAAAUAAAGAAAUACAUAAACCCAAUAAGCACCAUUACAAUUUCGACGCCAUGGAUGAGUACGGCAUACAACCUCUCUCUCAUGAUUUCAGCUUCAGAAUUUGACAUCUGAAAGUGAAAAAUUAUUUUUUUUGUGUCUUUUCUCUCCAUUUCCAGAUCUGACGACUACCUAGGGGCGGUUCGGUACGAUUACCGUACCAAAACUCUUGUACCAAUUACCGUACCAAAACUCUUGUACCAAUUACCGUACCAAAUUUUCGGUUUGGUAAAAUCUAUUACCAUUACCGUACCAAACUUUCGGUAUACCGAAGUUUGGUAUUGCCAAAAGUUUGGUUGGCAUGGUAUGACAAUGGUAAUUGCCAUUUUGUUUUGGGACAAAAUUUGUUUUUGUUUUUUUAACCCAAUUCAAGGGCAAAACUUUUUUUUUGUACCUUUAUCUCAUACAUUAUAGAUUAAAUUCAUCUAUUAUUCAUCAUUCACAAUUCACACACAUAAUAAUUCAAAUGAUGCAUUAAGAUUCAUCAUGAAAAUUAAGCUUACAAUCCAAAUAAAACUUACGAACCAAAACAAAUAGAAGUUAACAAUCCAAAUAGAAAUUAAAGUUUCAAACCAAAUGAAAAUUGGAAGUAAACUUCAGAAGGGAGAAUUCAUUGAUCAGUUAUUCAAGCUUGAGAUGUUGAAGCUUUUGGAGGAGGCAUUGAACUUCUAGAAAAUUGAAUUUGUGUCAAGCCUACAUUACAAACAAAGAAAACGUAUUAAUUAGUAGCUAAAAGAAUUAAAGUUGAAAACCAUUUAAUAACAAAUUUACUAAAAAAAUUAAAGCAUAUCUUUCUUGUUUUCUCUUCUUCCAUUUCCUUGUAAAAUUGAAGCAUAUCUUCCGUUGGUUCCUUAUAGAAGUUUACUUCGUCUGCCCUAAGCCAACCACUAGUACGCACUAGUGCCUCCAUUAUUUUAGGAGUCAAGGAUACCCUAAAAGAGUUCACAACCCUCCUCCCUAAGCUAAAUGCAUUUUCACUAGCAACAAUAGAAGUGGGGGUUACAAAGAUAUUUUGGCUAUUUGUGAAAGAAUUAGGAACUCUUUUGUGUUUGAUUUCCACAAUUUUAAGAGAUCAAAGUCACCAACAACAAUGCUAAUAUAAGUAGGGUUUUAUUUUCAAAUUAUUGGAAUAUUAUAAAUAUGUGUUAUAUAAUUAUCUAUUAUAUAAUUUAUAAAUUAUAAAUUAUAUUGUAUUUUCAGUAUGAUACGGUAACACCAUGGUAAUAGUAUCCAUUACUAAUACCAUACCAUGAAAUUUCGAUACGGUACAAUACCGUACCAUUACCGUUUAGUAUAAAAAAAUUGGCACAAAAACGGUAUGGCACGGUUGACAAUUCGGUUCGCAAGGCAAUUUGGCAAAAAAAAUCCACCCCUCCGACUACCCAAAAGAGUGCAACACCCAAGACGGCCGCGAAGUGAUGUCAUCAUCGUCGACAACAAGCGUCCACGUCACGGCCCUGGACGGCCUGGUCAACGUGAACUCACUCUUCACCAUCGCCGUCUUCGUGGGGCUUUCUCUGGCGACUCCGGGGC
rnacentral:lncRNA from 1 species